CUUACUCUGAUCUGACAGAAGAAUGGAAAUAGUAAUUACAGAAGAAACUCAUGCUAAUUAAAAACAUGGAAAAUGCUACUUGCCCCGAGUCAAACCCCGGGUCAGACCCCGAAAUUGCCCUAAACGACGUCGUUUUGUCGAUGCUUUUUUAUGUUUUGGUUCCCUAUAAAACGACACCGUUUGGCUUAGAAAAGAUAAAACCAAGGAAAACCCAACUGCUUUGUCUUCCUCUUCGUUUUACCCCUCUGCAAAAAACCCUCAUCUCUGUCAUUCACAAACCUCUUUCUUCAUCUUCUUCACAAACCCUCCUCUACUCUCACAUCGACCUCCUCCUCAGCCAUUUUCUUUCUUAUGAUGACGUAUUAGACAACACGGCCACCCAAGAAAAUUUUUGAUUGUUGUGUAUUGCAGGCAAAACAAAAUUUUCUCAUCAAUAUGGUUCUGUAGCUGGAGGUUAUGCGUGGAGAACAAACCAAAACGAUUCUCGUUUAUGGAUUCUUUUGUUUGCUCCAGCUUGUAUAUUUUUACCCUCUUGUUUCUUCGUUUUUUUUUCUUAUUUAAUAUUGCUUUAAUUUUUAUUUUGAAAGUAGCAAAGGCAAUUGUGUAGUUAUUAAUUGGUAGAAGAUGAAAGAACGAAAAUGCAGGCAACUAAGAGCUUGUAUGUUGUAAUCUUACGAAAUUGGAUCUCUUUUUUUUUCUUUUUUCUUUUUUUCUGGUGCCUGCACUCUUAUUGCUUCAUUUUGAAAAAAGAACAAUGUGUGUCUCUGUUGUUUUAAACUGGAGUUCGUUUUUGUUUACCCUUAUUAAUUAAUGUUGCAAAUGAUUUCUUGGUGACAAAUCUGAUGCUUUCGCAGCCUUAACCCAGUUAAAACGACGCCGUUUAAGCUGGGAUGAAACAAAAAAAAAAACGAAAUUGAAACGGCAUCGUUUUAUUACUUUCGGGGUUUGACCCGGGGCAAAUAGCAGAACUCUAAAAACAUUUUACCUGCCCCUACAAGGAAAAUGCUACUUUCCCCGGGUCAAAUCCCAGGUCAAACCCCGAAUUAAACCAAAACGACACCGUUUUGGUUUUUUUUUUUUGUCCUUUUUGCUUCCAUGAAACGUGGUCGUUUCAGCCAAACAAAAGCAAAUGUCUUCGUUUUUUACUUCCUCUCCUCUUCGAUUAUCCUCUUCGUUUUACCAACAGACCAACAGAGCACAAAUUGCAGAAGUCACUUGCACAUCAAUUCAUCACAAAAUGCAGAGUUUUACUAAAGAAAAAAACGAUGCCGUUUUUCUUGCCAAAUAUUUUCCAUUUCCUUCGUUCAUGGAGCUCCUGCCACCGCCAAAGCCAAAUAUUUCCCCUUUCAUUUCCUUCAUCAAUCAAGCUCCAGCCACUUGCUUCGUCGAUCGAGCUCUAGCCACAGCCAUUCGCAAAUCGCAGUCCACAAUCCGCGCCUGAAAUUGUCAUUCACAAUCCACAACUCACAACCAUGACUUCACACAGAGAACGACUCCCACAGCCUUCACGCGACAGCGAGAUCGAGCUCUUUAACAUUCGAAGAACAUAUCUGGUUGCGAAAGUUGAUUUUUAAUUUGCUUGCGAGCUGAGAUGCUUCGAAUUCUCUGUUUUUUUUUUUUUUUGUAAAUUACUAAGCCAAAAGCUUUGCAUAAGCUUCUGCUUCGGUUUUGAAGAUUGUGAAGCUGGAAAUGUUUUUUCCCUUUUUAUAAAUGGAUAAUUGAAAGUUUGAACUUUACCUUCGUACUUUCUUUUUCAUAAAUUGCUCAUGGUGCAGUCUCAUUUUGCUAGUUGAAGAAACAGUUAAGGGGGUCUGUAGUUGAGAAGAAAGAGGAAACGAAAAUGAAAAGAAAAAGCUUAAGUCUCGGUGCGUUCAAGUAGCAUUUUUUCAAUUAAAAAAUUUAAUUCUCAAAACGGCGUCGUUUUCUAAAGUUUCGGGGUUUGACCCGGGAUUUGACCCGGGGUAAAUAGCAGAACUCCCCCUACAAUCAUCCCUUCAAAACUCUCACUAGGAAUAAACCAUCUUCCCAUUAUGGCAACUCCAUUUCCCAUAAACAGAUAUGAAAUGCUCACUAAAAGAGAGACGACGUACCUGGAUUAGGAGGCCUCGGCUCCUGCCCUUGCCAUUGUCGCAGAAAACGAACCCAAGUGUAUGAAGAAGACGAGGAUUGUCGAUGCAAGUAAGAAUGUAAUCCAUGCUCUGUUGAAAAAGUUCCAAUUCAUGCCGUCUCCUCCAUCUCCAUUUGUUGCUAAAUAAGCUGUCAUGAGGUUGAAAAAGUUCCAAUAUUGAGCCUGGAAUGAUUCAUUCAUUUUCAGGGUGUGAACGAUUAUAAGAAAGCAGCAAGUUAAGGACACUAGUGUUGUCAGCAUUGUUAAUGUGUGUGAGAUCAGGAAGUGGUCACAGAUCAUGAUUAAUGAGUUUCCAUAGAAAACAAUGGCUAGAAGCAAAGCUAGUUCUGUUGCCCAUGGCUUUUGCAUAGCUGAAAUUUGGAAUGUGAAAGUGAUGGGGCAAAAAAGAUGAUGAAUGCAAUCAGAGCACUGAAAGCAUUAAUUUGUACGCAAAAUUUUGCAAGUCACGGCAGGAUAAACAUAAACGCAAGUUGGUGGCUAACUGAAUUUUUAUGAUACUAAAGAAAUGCCACUUUACAUGAGAGGCCACGUGGAAGUGGCCCAGAUUAUCAAUCAUCAGUUCCUAGUCAAUUUAGAGGGCUACAAUUAAGAAUUUUUUUUUUUUUUUAAGACAAAAACAGCAGGGUGGGCAGAGCUUAAAUUAAAGGUGAGAUACACCACCAACAAAGUGUUGGCUCCAUCGGCAAUGGAGUUCCUUUAAGUGGCUUGAUUGUGUUUGCUCUCUAGUUCGAGUCUCAGGGAAGUCGCCUUUGUUGGGAGAAUCUGUGCUUCCCGUUCGAGGGGGGACUUCUAAUCUGAGUUGUGGUACGGGCUUAAAGGUACCUCCCACAGUUGGGGUCCUCCCCAGGAUACCUCGUGAUUAAUAUCAAAAAAAAAAAAGGUGAGAUACACGAAGUUCAAAUCAAAUUUUUACCCAUUAUGUUUUCUUGGAUUCGAGUUUUGGUGGUUAAAGAAAGUUGUUUGAAAACAACUAGGUCAAGCCCCGUAAGAACAAAUAAAAAUGAAAAUUUCAAUUUACCUCUACCUUGAAUCACAAUCCUGCUGAAUAAACCCUCUAAUGUUUGCAUAUUCUAUUUGUCCUCAUCUUUUAAAUGAAAAAUGAGAGUAAAUUGAUUUUAUCAAUACUUUAAAGAUUUAAUUAAAGAUUGGUACUCUUGAUAGAGGAUAAAUUGAAAUUUACCACAAACAAACACCUAAUGAUGUUAUCUGAUGAUUUCAUUUUGAGAUUACUGGUAAAGCUAAUGGGAUGAAAGAUUAUGGUUCGCUUUUGCAAGGAAAAGCUUUCUACGAUGUGGGCAAAGACCUAGGUGAUGUAUGUACUUUUCUAAAAUUUUGAUCAUGUGAAUUAUUAUUAAAAAUAAUUUAUUAUAAGUCAAUAUUACAUAAUUAUUUUAAACACUUACUUCAAAAAUGAAUUACGUACGAGCAACAUGACUAAUUACACAACAUAAUAGUAAUAAUUUUUUAAGGCGUUUCCAUGCUAAUGUGAUGAAUAACAAAUAAAACAGAACAAAAAAUAAAACUGCUAAAUCUUUUAUUCUCUUUGUCACAUAAUAAAGAGGACAUGCUGCUAGUAUGGACAAAGCAAAAGAGGAUAUAUUGCCCUCUUUUUUUUUUUUUGGGUUAAUUGCAUUACAAAUAAAAUUAAUAUGAAAAAUCAUAAAUGAGCUUUAGGACAGGUGCAAUCUGAAUAUCUUAAAAGAAAAAAGAAAAAAAAAAAAAGGAUCGAAUCCACUUUCAAGUGUUUUAAAAGAAAAAUUUACACAAUCAAACUGUCAAUCUUAAGGACGAUGCCUUACUCUGGUCUGACAGAAGAAUGCAAAUAGUAAUUACAGAAGAAAAUCAUGCUAAUAAAAAACAUAGUAGUUUUUUAGAUAGUAAGUAUGGAUUAAUAUAUUGUGAACUUAUAAUAGUUUUUUAAAUUAAGUAUGGAUUAUUAUAGUGUAAUGGAUAUCCAAUUAGGGAACUGUGAAGGGAUUUGCUUUCUAAUAUCAUGUAAUGUCUAAUUUUACGAUUAAUGUAAUGGCUUGCACUUUAGUGUUGUAUAUGAUUCUAAGUCUUGAAAUUGAAUUCUUAACAAGUAUUGCAACAAUGAAUUCGUGAACAAGAGUAGAUAUUGGAAGAGAAAAAAAAAUUGUCAAUAAGCAUUACUUGUCUAUAAUUCAAUUUCAAAUAUAAGAACUUAAAAUAUUAUAUUUUAUCAUAUCUCUAUUUAAUUUUUUUAAUUUAAAUAAUCCUUUUAGUCGAUUUAUCAAUAGCUUUAAUUAUAUUAAAAAUAAUUAAAUUUUUUUACUAAUAGAAAUUAUAUGUACCAUUAAUUAGAUUUAAGGAUAAUAUUUCUUACACUAUUGAUGCUGUUCAAAAAUUAUAGCGUCGUAUACGCACCCACUAAUAUAAUUUUAAUACAAAUUUAUUAAAUUUUAAUAGUUGUGUUUACAAAAUUUAUCUAUUUUUACUUCCCAGUGAUUUAUCAAACACCCAAUAAUAGCAGUAGAUUUUUUUUUCUACAAUAGGUGUAGGCACCUCAAUCUCAAACAAGUUCUUUAUAUCUUCCACGAUGCAACCCAUAAAUAGAAAAUCACGAAGUUGACUAAGGUUGCGUUUGUUUUUUAACUUAAUGACUUAAAGUGACUUAACUUAAUUAAUUAAGUUAAUUAGAGGUGUUUAUUUUUAUAACUUAAUGAGACUUUUUAGAUAAUUUUGACUUAAUAAAAUAAGCCAAUUUUUUUGGCUUUUUACUUAAUGGAGAAAUUUGAAUUAAGUCAAUUACUUACUAAUGUAAAAAAUAUCCAUGUUUUAUAAUUUAUUUUUCAUGUCUAUCCCAAAACUCACCCAUAGACAUUUACCUCACAUAAAAAUAUCCCUGUUUUUUCUUUCUUAUAUUAUAUAUGAUAAAAUUUGAAAUUUAUGGUAUUUUAUAUAUUAAAAUUUCAAAAUAAUUAUGUAUUCACUUGAAUAUAGUUUUACUUAUAAAUGUUAAAAUAUUGUGGUAUUUAAUAUAUUAUUUAUUUGACAUUCAAAUUUAAUAAGGAUACAAAUGUAAAAGUACAUAUUUUCAGCUUUUCAGUUGAAAAAAAUAAACAACUUAAUACUUAUUUUUCGAGAUUCAGACGAAAAAAUAAACAUAUUAUUCAGAUUUAGACAUUCAGAUCUAUUCAGAAUUCAUACUAAUUCAGGUCUAUUCAGAUUUCAGACAAAAAAACAAACGCCACCUAAGUCUUUGAGUACGCAAACUCUUUGGUUUAUUGGAAUAUUAGCCUUGAUUCGAGAGAGACUAAUUUUCAAUUGCUACUAAUUCAGACCACUGUAUGAUAUUGAGGUUGGACAAUUGUAUUUUAACAGUUAUACCACUAAAGUGUUUGAUAAAAACUAAAUAUUAUUACUUGGAGGCUCAGUUGAUUUAAUCACACUUUACAAUUUUAUCAAAAUUAUUAUUUAAAAUCAUAUUUACUAUUCAAUAUCAACUUUUGCUUCAUUAUUACAGCCUUUUUUCUAUAACAAUUUUGCCUUAAAAGAUACAACACCUUAAUACCAAAUAUGACAUUGAACAAUGUUACAAUAAAUGAAAUAUUAGCAGGGUUGGUGUUUUCAAUAAUAUUAAGGACAUUCAUUGAUUUCAUUUGGAGUCAAUAUUUAAUCCCAUUUACAUCUGCUGUACGGCCCUAGUAGAUAUAUUUAUGUAUACUAGGUUGGGAUAAAGAUCUCAUUUUUAAUGAAUACAUUUAGACUCCCAACAUAUCUCAAAUUGUAAUUUAUAUGUAAAUUGGGUGUGGCUCCAACCCAAGAGUUGAAUAACAGCAAAUGAGUUUGUAAAUACUAGUCGGGGGUUGAUGUACCAACAUCAUGAUUUUAAAAAGGGAAAUUAUCAUUCGUAUACCCUAAAUUAGUGUUUUUAUAAAAAAUACUACAACACUUUAAGGGUGUAUCAAUUGUCCACCCCAAAUUGACAAAAGUUAUCUACCGUCCACUAAACCGUUAAUUGCCGUUUGAAAGUUAACGGAACAGUAACGAAUUGACGAUUUUACUUUUGAAAAUUAUCACUUGUAUACCCUUAAAAUCUCUUAUUAUCACUUAUAUACCCUUAAAUUAUCACUUGUAUCAUAUAAAAAUACUAGAUUACCCCUCUAACAUCAUCAUAUUUAAAUGGCAACUAACAGUUUGGUGGACGACAAAUAUAUUUUGUCAACUUAGGGUGGAUGACUGAUAUACCCUGAAAGUGUUGUAGUAAAUUUGAUAACAGAGUAAACUAAGGGUAUACGAUUGAUAAUUUCUCUUUUAAAAAAAAGAAAAUGAAAAAUGAAAAAAAAAACAACAACAACAAAUUAAGAAAAUAUGGUUUAUCCGAAAAUUUGAUCCCACAACUCGACCUAGACACCAAGAAAUUAUUAGGUACCAUCAGGUCUAUUAUCCAAAGCAGUGAAAGUGCUACAAAUUACAAAGAAAUACCAUGCCAGUGGAGCAGAAUCAUCACACAAAUAUCACUGAAAUGACUGGAUGGAGAUCAAGUCGUGCACGGAAAAAUGAGAACCACUAUUAAAAAAGAACCUAUACUCUGCAGAUAUGAAAAGAAAAUCAACAAAAAGAAACUUUAAGCUCUGUGUCUUGUGCACUUUGUUGGUUUAACAACAUUUUCCAGUGAAAAUUAUAUCUUUAUUUUUUUUCGGUAGCAAUUCAGACUUCCAAAUCACGAAGUAGUCAGUAACAAUUUGCAAGGUCAUGAUCCGCAACCACUAUGCUAAUCCUUUAGGGGGUACAGUCCAAUUUGUUACUAAUGAUUUUUUAAGUUAUAACUUAAAUUUAAUCUACACUUAACAUCUCAGCGUCUUUUUCACCGUUGAAAGUAACUAGCAAUUAAAAUAUUUUCUCUCAAAAUUAGAGAAAAUAUUUUACUUUUCUGUUAUGCAUAUAUAUUGUAGUUUCUGUUUUCUUUUUUAUGAAAAACAAUUCAUUUAUUUUUUUAUGGAAACCCUAGGCUUUUUUAUCUUCUAUUAAAUAAAAAAAAUGAUUUAAAUUAUAAAAUAAUCAAACGCCAAAAAUAGCACAUCACUUGUGCUUGUUAUGGGGCUCAUCUUGUGAAAUAACACAAGACCCCUUAUAAACAAACAUAUUAGAUUGGGCCUCCUAUUAAUAAUAUAUUAGGUUUUUGGCUCAAAUAGCUAAUUAUCAUACUUAUCAAUUCAAUAGUGGAUGAGUUAACUCGGGGAUUAUUUAGAUACAUACAAUAAUGGCUACAAUAAUUAAAUUCAAAAUUAAAUAAGCCUAAUUAUUUAAUUCUAAAUCAGCUCCAUUAUAACAUUAGAAUUGACCUCCGUAAUUAUAUGCUAUUUAGGAUAAUGUUCUUGAAUAAUAAUUCAAACCAUUCCAUAUUAAUCUCUUUACUAAACAUUCAUUUGUACACAUCGUUAUUUAAAUUGAUAUCUCAAUUGUCCAAUUAAUUUAAUUACAUAUUGAUCCUAGACACUUAAUAGUUUUUCUAUGACGAUUGUUUUAACAUACUAAUUUUGUUGACACAUCUAACCAGAGAAUUUUAUAAUAAAAAACUGAAAACACAUCAAGAGAUGUGUUGUACAAAUUCUAUAUUAUUAAUCUAUAAUUUCACUACUCAUAAUUGCUCCCACCAAGAUACCGAAUAAUCUUGACUAUAAAUAUAUAUCUUCUCUAUUGGUAAUUCAAUUGGAAUAGCAAUCAAAACUAUGAAAUUGUAACUAACUCAAUAAUUAGAUUGCAUUAAAAAUCAAUGCCUUGGGAUUUAACAAGUCUAAGAGUUAUUUCAAAAUUAAUUAAAUUUCAUAUGCGAUCCUAUUUGAUGUAAUCAAACUACAUUAAUAAAUCCAUAUAUAAUUAAGGUAAAUCAUUUAAUGAAUUUAGCAUAGUAUAAACAUUAAUAAAACAUAACUAACAUGAAACAUCACAAAUUAACUUUGUGGCAGUUUAAUCUAAAUAUCUUUUAUUUAAAAAAAAAAAGUGAUCAGAUCCACUUUCAAGUAUUUUUUUUUUUAAAAUUUACAUCUACAUGAGAGUCAAACCGUCGACCUUAAGAACGAUUCUGGUCUGACAGAAGAAUGGAAAUAGUAAUUACAGAAGAAACUCAUGCUAAUUAAAAACAUGAUACCUGCCCUUGCAAUCAUCCCUUCAAAACUCUCACUAGGAAUAAACCAUCUUCCCAUUAUGGCAACUCCAUUUCCCAUAAACAAACAUGAAAUGCUGACUGAAAGAGAGACAACAUACUUUGGAUUGGGAGGCCUCGGCUCCUGCCCUUGCCAUUGUCGCAGAAAACGAACCCAAGUGUAUGAAGUGUAGAAAAUGAGGAUUGUGAAUCCAAGUAAGAAUGUAAUCCAUCCUCUGUAGAAAAAGUUCGGAUUCAUGCCGUCUCCUCCAUCUCUAUUUGUUGCUAAAUAAACUGUCAUUAGGUUGAAAAAGUUCCAGUAUUGAGCCUGGAAUGAUUCAUUCAUUCUCAGGGUGUGAACGAUUAUACGAAAGCAGCAAGUUAACGACACUAGUGUUACUAGCAUUGUUAAUGUGUGUGAGAUCAGGAAGUGGUCACAGAUCAUGAUCAAUGAGUUUCCAUAGAAAACAAUGGCUAGAAGCAAAGCUAGUUCUGUUGCCCAUGGCUUUUGCAUAGCUGAAAUUUGGAAUGUGAAUGUGAUGGGGCAAAAAAGAUGAUGAAUGCAAUCAGAGCACUGAAUGCAUUAAUUUGUACGCAAAAUUUGAAAGUCAAUGGCAGGAUAAACAUAGACGCAAGUUGGUGGCUAACUGAAUUGUUAUAAUACUAAAGAAAUGCCACUUUACAUGAGAGGCCACGUGGAAGUGGCCAUUAUUUUAAUUUUCUGAGGAUCAGUCCUAGCAUUUUUUUUUUUUUGCUAUUUCUUAGUCAAAUAGGUUGGGUAAAGUUCAAAUAAAAGGCGAGGCGCAAAAUGUUGAAAUAAAAUAUUUAGCUAUUAUUUAUUUAUUUAUUUUUUAAGAUUUGAAUCUGGACUCACUAUUUUAAACAUUUAUACUCAUAUUAGAUUAGGGCGUGACAUCAGUUUUAUGAUUUUCCAACCGUAUCAACAUCAUUAAUGGGACCAACAAAGUGUCGGUUCCACUGGCAAUGGAGUCCCCUUAAGUGGCUUAAUUGGGUUUGCUCCCCAGUUCGAGUCGCAGGGAAGUCGCCUUUGUUGGGAGAAUAUGUGCCUCCCGGUUCGAGCGGGGACUUCUAGUCUGAGUUGUGGUACGGGCUUAAAGAUGCCUCCCACAGUUGGGGCCCUCCCCAGGAUACCUCGUGAUUAAUAUAAAAAAAAAAAAAUCAUUAAUGGGCAAAUUGGUUUAGAAAAACCAUCAAAUACUAAACACACUAAAAUCUUACGUACAAGUAAUAUCUUUUACCAUUGCACAUAUUUCUUUCUUUUUAACAUAUUUAUUGAUAAUUGAUAGAACACUUCAGCAAAUUUCACUCCAAAUAACAGGUAGCGCUUGCCAUGGUCUUGUUUACCCACCUUAACCACUUAAUUAUGGGUAUAAGGCGUUUUACCUCUUUUGUGAAACGAAUGUUUAUUCCCAGCUUACAUAUCAUUUCGUCCUGACUCUUCGUUACAUUGGUAGGAUUCACGAUUUAUAAUACAGGGCGUCUUCGCUCCACUUUAGCUCAGGUUAUAACUCUUAAUUAUUAAACUGUCUUGAUAAAUGGAAUUGUUUGGUUAUUUCUCAAAUUCCUUCGACAUGCCAUUUGGUUAUAUAGUUUAUGGGCAAAGAUAGUGUUGAUGCGAGAUUCCGAUUCUCCUCGUUCUACGACCAGGAUCUCUGCUCGAUCAUCUUCACCACGACCAGGAGGUCUCCUAGUAAUGCUUCUUCUCCAGAUGUCCCUGCACAAACAGACAAGUCAGAGUACGCCGGUUGUUCCCCCGGCGCAAACCCUCCGACGCUCAAGUCAGAUAUGAAGGUUCAGGGAACGCUUGCCACACGUCUUAUGGCUUUUUCGUGGUUUUUCUCUAAUCUCAAAAAUGCCAACCCUCUUACCUUCGUUGGCUACCUUUUUAUAGGCUUCCUCUGAAUCUCAGUCUUCCGCUCUUUUCCCGACGGUAUGGGACUCCCACUGCUGCGUUAUGGGCAAACGUGGGAUCUAGCGUGUUACGCCACGGUUCAGGGGAAAGCGUGGCUGUCAUGGCUCUGUGAGACUUUGCGUGUUACGCCACGGUUCUGGGGAAAGCGUGGCUGUAGUGCCUAGAUUCUCGCGCUGGAGAGCACGUCUUGCCAACUGCCGUCGACCGGGUCUCCUCGCCUCUUGACCUCUAGCCGGAAUGGCCUUAUGCCUUUUAUAGGGAAUUGGCCUCGCGGAUGACAACAUCGUGGACGAGCAGGAUAUUUCUGCUCCUGUUCUUCCGCGCACCAGGCUUUUACGGAACACACCGGUUCGCAGAACUCCGCCAUCAGAUAUCUGCUCGUCAUUCCUGGUCUCGUCGACGUAUUUAUCCCAAACAGUAUCUCUCCCAAACAGAUAGGAUUUUUUUUCUUAAGAGAAAUGCUAAACAGCCAAAAGAAAAAGGGAACGAAGACAGAAACAACAAUACAUGCUGCACUUUUAUCUAAGGAUGGCAAAAAUUCCCAAGGGGACGGGUACCUUCGGGGAUUUUUUCCAUUCGGGGAGAAUACGAGGAUAAUUUUAUACCCGAUUUCUUAUUCGGGGAAGGGACGAGGAUGAGGUGGAAUCCCCAUCCCCUCCCCAUUUCCCCCAUUUUAAUUUUAAUUUUUAAUUUUUAAAAUUACCAGUAAAUAAAUAAUAAAAUUCGAACUAUAUUAUAAAAUUAUAAAUAUUGGUAAAAAUAAAAAAUAUUAAAAUAAUUUUAAUUAUUUUAUUAAAAAUAUUAAUUAAAUAUCUACAUUUAUUUCAUUUAUUUUAUUGUCGAUAUAAAAGUUCUUUUUAUUGUAGGAUUAUGAAGAUUGAGUCAUUGACAAAGAUAAUUAUUUUAAUAAUUUAUAUUUUGAAUGUGACUUUGAAAUGGAUCAAUAAUGUAUUAGUUAUUCGAGAAUCGGGGACCCUCGGAGAUCCCCUGUUAUUAUUCGGGGAGGGAAUGUGAAUUCUCUCAAGUAAUUAUGCGGGGGAUGGGGAGGGAACAGGGACAUGCGCAAAAUAUCAGGUAUAGAUACGGAAAGAUUAGUCCCCUCCCCUCCCCUCCCCUCCCAUUACCAUCCCUACUUUUAUCUUUAUUUCCUUUAUAUUUUUUCACUAAAACAUAAAAAAAUGAUAAAAUUUUAGUAAAAGUCUAAUUUUAUCCCCCUUUACAACUAACAGCCAACCAACCCCAAGAUCUCUUAUUAAAAAAAAAAAAAAAGCCCUGCACUAAGUGAUGACAACAGAGAUGCCAAUGGCACCACCAACAGCGACCAUUUAUACCAUAAUGAUUCCAAGAAUUAUCAUAGAUCGGAGAAUUGAAAUUUUAUGUUUUCUGACAAAAUUGAUCAAGUAUGAGUGAGAGAGAGUAAAAUAGGACAUGUGGCAAUGACAGCGUGGGCAUGAUGUCCUUGAAUGUAAUUUCAAUAAGAGUGAGAUUAUUAGCACCCUUAUAAUUUGCAUUUACAAUGCCUUUUCUAUUGUGAGCUACGUUAGUUCCAAAAAUAUCCUUUCUUAAUUUUUUAACCUCUUCCACACACCUCCAAAUCUUGAAAUAUGAUUUCUAUGUACAAAAUUUUGGAUGAUUAUAUUAUAUGUAUUUAAUUUAAAAUAUAUAUUUGAAUUAAUUAGAGUUAAAAGUGAACUCAAAAUAGCUAAUCUGUAACUUUUUUUUUUAAAAGGAUAUUCAAGAAAAUGGGAAAAAAAUUAUUCUUUUGAGUUUAUUCAAGAAAUCGAUAAUGGAUGAGGAGUUUGACGAGAGUAUGAAUAUAUUAUUAAAAUCACAUUGAUUAGAAUGCAAAAUAUUUGUUAGGGAACCAAAAAAAGAAAAAGAAAAAGUGAAAACUGUUGUUCAUGUGAUUAUAUGGGUGUAAUGAAUUAGAGAGAGAAGCUUAUAGAAACAGAAAAAUAAUUUAUUUAAUUAUUUAAUAUAAUUGUGAUAAAGAAGGGGUUUGAUACGAGUUAUAAAUGGAUGCCAGUCCCACUCUUUCAAUAAAAAUUAAAAUUAUAAAUAUUUAAAUAGCUAUUUGACGAGGAUUAUGAAGGGGUGGCAAUAGCCCAAACUUCCUGUUGAGAUAUUUAAAUAGCUAUUUCACGCAAAAAUGAAUGAUUGAUUUUUACACGGGAAUCGACUACGAAACAGAAGAAAAUUCGGAAAUGUUGUAAACAUUACAUGGUUGGCACCAAAAUUUGACCCCACGGCCUAGCCUGGAAGCCAUGGAAAUCUGCAGUGCAAUUUUGUCAUCGUCAAAAACAGUGAAAGUGAUACAAAGAAUAAAAAUAAGUUAACAAAGGAACAAAAGAGAUAGCAUGCCAGGGGAGCUGAAUGAAUGGCCACAAGUAUCACUGAAGUGACAGGACAAAGAGCAAGUUGUGCACAGAAAGUGAGAGCCACAGCCAGCGGAAAAAAGAAAAAAAGGAACUUAUUCUGCUGAAAUGGAAAUCGACAUGAAGAAAUUUUGUUCUCUGUGUCUUCUGCUUUUCGCAGUAUCCAGUGUUACAGCUGCUGCAAAGGAAAGUUAUAAACAUGGAGAAUGUGAUGGUUCCAUUGCAGAAUGUGGUGAAUUAGCAGCUGAAGAAUUCUCAAUGGAGUCAGAAACAAGUAAAAGAGUUCUUGCAGCAGCACACAAGUUCAUUUCUCCCGGGGCCCUGCGGCGGGAUGCGCCGGUAUGUAAUGGAGGAGCAAGGGGAGAUCCGUACAGUAAAAGUUGCCUGCCUCCCCAAUCAAAUCGUUAUCAAAGAGGUUGCGCCGCGUACAAAAUGUGCAGAAUGUGAGCAGCUGUUUUAUGAGUUUCUUUUUUGUCAUUCUUCUUCGGUUAGUAAUAAAUAUUUGCUAUAAUGAAAAUAAAAUUGCUCAAAGUCCAUGCGUAGUUGUUUAUUUGAGAUGUUUGGUAUCCACUUGUUCUACCAUAAAACUAUGAUUUUUUUUUUUUUUGGGGAAUUACAUGAAGCUAUGAUUUUAAAACCGCAAUUUAUUGAAACUUCCUUGUCUGGCCAUGAUAUUCCAUGAUUUGUUGAAUAUUUUAGGACUUGUUGAAUUUUUUAGGACAUGUAAUAUAUGAACUUUUUAAUAACAAAAGCCUUUAAAAAUAUACUUUCAAAUGGAUUUGGUGUGUAUGAAUUGAAGAGAUUGAGGUUAAAGAAUGGGAGUAGUCAUUUCAAUUCUUUUUUCCUUUUUCUCUCGAUCCCUUUCCGUUCUAACAAUUUUAGAGAGUGAGAAAUAUCAAAGAAAUUUCUCAUGUUUGAUAUUUCUCACGCACUUCUGUAAAUCAAAUCCUUCAUUUCUGGAUGUUAAUUUAGCAAAGUGGCAAUAAAGGUAAUUUAAAAGAUUACAAAAGGAAGGUCGAAGCCAGUUGCAAUCACUUCAUUAUACGUCGUUUAAUUAGUGCUAAGAAUUGAAUUAGGAGACUAAUCAAAAUUGUUCAAGCAUACUAAGAGGUGAUUUCAAAUUUUGGGUGGUCUCUCUCCCCAUUCUGCCUGAAUAUGGGUGGGGAAGUUUAAUUCACCUAAUUAGAACGUCGGCAAAUGUCUUCAUAAUAAUUAUGUAUGCUAUACAAAUUAAAGAAAAUUCGUUUUAAAAGUUUAGUAGAGUUAAAAAGUUUUGUCAUGUUAUACAAAUUAAAGAAAGCUCAUUUAAAAAGUUCUGAAAAAGCUAAAAUGUUUUGUCAAAUCAAACACUUAAACGUGAUAAUUAAAUAUUUGUUCGAUCAAUUUUCUAUCACUUGUCGCCUAUGACCUACCACUCCACUGAGAAACAUGAGUCACCGCAUGAUUAUUUUCAAGUGCGCGCAACACUCGUGACAAGCUCCCAUCAUUAGGAGAACUGUGCUAAUUCCCCAUUAAAUUUUGACCCGUGCUUAAUCGUUUACCUGAUCAACACUCUUAUCUCUGUGUCCUCAAAUUCUGUCCAAUUCCAAUCCCCUCCAAAUGGUACAAUAUUAAAAGGUUACUGUCUUGCUGCUGCUACCAGUGUCGGCUUUAAUACUAGGCGAAUUAGACAGUUGCUUAAGGCCCCGUAUUUAGGAAGGCCCCGAUUUUCGGUAUCUAUUUAUUAAUUAAUAUAAUUAAUUUUUUUUAAGAUUCAAAAAAAUUAAGUUACAUAUAUAUUUUUUGUACAGUAAAAAAAGCCUAAUUUUUAUGAUUUACCCUAUCAUUACUCUCAUUCAUAAUUAUCUCUCUUAUUUAAUAAUCUUUGCCAUAAAUAUAAGAUAUAUUUUUAUGCUAUAAUAAUGAUUUUGAACGUUACUUCUUUAUUUUCUUUUACUAUUUCCCAAAAACAAUCAAUGAUUUCCCUUUCAAAAAAAAAAACUCUUAUUAAGAUUAGUAACAUUAGAUUUUUUGAUUUACCCUAUCAUUACUCUCAUUCAUAAUUAUCUCUCUUAUUUAAUAAUCUUUGCCAUAAAUAUAAGAUAUAUUUUUAUGCUAUAAUAAUGAUUUUGAACGUUACUUCUUUAUUUUCUUUUACUAUUUCCCAAAAACAAUCAAUGAUUUCCCUUUCAAAAAAAAAAACUCUUAUUAAGAUUAGUAACAUUAGAUUUUUAGAACUAACUUUUGGUAUUCUAUUAAAAUCUAUUUAAAAGCUCAUUAUCUAUAAACCGAUACACAUUGAAUCAAAGCUAUUUUCGGCAAAAAGUUUUUGUGCUCUCUUCUUUUCUCUACAAAAUUCAUUACCAUCAUCAUCUUCAUCUCAACUAGUCAAUUGACUCAAAUCCAGGUGCUAUCAUUCUAUUUUUUUCUAUUUUUUAUUAUUAUUGUUCUUAUCCUUUUAAAAUUUAAUUUAUUUUUGAUUUUUUGUAUUGAUUUUGGCUUGAAUAAUCUAGAAAAAAAAAUUGUGUUUGUUUAUUUAUUUAUUUUAUUUGAAAAACAUGUCAACUAGAAAAUAUGUAUCGGGAUAUGAAAAAUUGAAAAAAAAGAGGAGAAUAGAAAAGUUAGUUCAAUCUCAAAAAGGAGCUCUUGAUAAAUUUGUCACAACUAGUAAAAAAGAUAUAGAUUUAAAUGAAGAAUUAGUUAUUGAACAACCAAGUUUAAAUGAAUUAAAUAAUGAUGAAACGGUGAAUGAAAUAAACAACAUUGAAGAUGAUAAAAAUAAAAAUGCAGACAAAGUUGAUGUAAAAAAUUUAUUUGUUCCAAAUAAUAUUUAUGAUCCAGGAAGAUGGGAAAAUGUUGAUACAAAGUUAAGAGAUCUUUUAGUAGAAAAAGGCCCAAUUAGAGAGAAUAACAUAACUUUCCCAAAAGAUGAAAAUUCUAGGCAUUUCUCUACUGCAUUUUAUGUUAAAAUGUUAACAAAUGGAGAAAAACAUGAUAGAAAAUGGUUAAUAUAUUCAAAAGAUUUUAACAAAGUAUAUUGUUUUUGUUGCAAAUUAUUCAAUACAAGUUGUAGCAAAAAUCAACUUAGUGAUGAAGGAAUAAGAGAUUGGAAAAUCUUAGUUCUAAACUUAAAAGUCAUGAAACAACCAAUGAACAUAUAACUAAUAUGAAUGCAUGGGUUGAUUUAGAAGCAAGACUAUCGAAAAGAAAAACAAUUGAUAAAGAUGUUCAAGAAAGAAUUGACAAGGAAAAAGAACAUUGGCAAAAAGUAUUAAUACGAACUAUUGCUGUUGUAAAAAAUCUUGCUAAAAAUAAUUAAGCAUUUCGUGGAAAAAAUGAGAAGAUCUGUGAAGAGAGAAAUGAGAAUUUUUUAAGUCUGCUGUACCGUACAUCCGCCUUGGCCGUACAGCAGACAUUUUGUAAGGGAGAGACUGUUUCACUCAAUUAGUUGAAAAUUAAGGGAGAACUAAAACUAACCUUCAUAAUGCUUUUAUGGAGGCUCGAACCCUUGCACUCAACAUUGUAAGUGCAAGACUUCUCCCAUUGGACCAAAGGCCAAUUGGUCAGCUCCCCUUUCUUAGAUGGAAGGGAAAUUCAUUUCUAGCCUCAGACUGUGCGGUGUUUAUGUGCGGGCUUAUUCCACAAGUUCCUUUCUUCUUCCACGUCCAAGUAUUUUAAAAUUAUUCAUCUUAUUGAUAUGAGAUUUUUAUUAUCUUAUCUUGGAUGUGAUAAAAAUUUUCAUUGAUCGAUUAAAAAAAAUUACGAGGAAAAUAGUAAAAUAUAAAAUUAAAAAAAAUUAACAGUUAGUUAUUUCUUUUAAUGGCGGGGUUUUGAUGGGUUUUAAAAUAAUUAAGAGGGGGUAAUGAUAUAUUUCUUGCAACGACAGGUGGGGUUUUUAUCACUUUCUCGGAAAGGAUAGAAUUGAAACGACAGUCCUCUUGUUUGAUUGUAAUAAUAAACAAUCAUACAUAUUUUAUUAGAAAUAUAAAUAUUAUCAGCAAUAAAAUUGAUAAUUAUGAUUUAAAAUUACUGUUAAAUUUUCGUAAACUAUGUAGAACAAAAAAAAAAUCUUAAUUUUCUGUGUUUUUUUCCUGAUGAGAUGGAUUUGUUACAUGUACACAGAAAUAUGUGCUUGGUAGACCUAUGGAAGUCACGAAACCAUUGAUGUUUGCGAGUGCUUUCAUAACCUUCAUAUCCCUUGCAAUUGCAUUUGUCAAGGUACAUUCAUAAUUAUUCUCAGACACGAUCUUUGUAUUUUAUAAAUGCAGGUGUCGAAAUCUUUUAUAAAAUUGUAACACGUCGAAUCCACAGUUUUAUACAAUUGGUGGCUACUAAUUAACCCCUUUUUUUUGUUUAAUUUGAACAGGAUUUACAUAAUAAUAAAUAUUAUUAUUAUUAAUAUUAUUAAUGACAUUUAAAAUAAUAAAAUUAAUUGUGAUUUGAAUGAGGGUAAUUUGGAAAAUAUAAAAAAUUAAAGGGAUACAAAAGUAAAUAUAUAUUUCAUUCUCAUUCCCUCAUUUUCAUUCCCAACCCUCACAUGAGAAUGAGAUUCUCAUUUCUUAUUCCCAAAUUGUGUGGGACUCAAACAUUUUAUUCUCAUUCCCAAAUUAUAUUUUACCGAGUAAAUAUGGGUUUCAUUCUCAUUCCUCAUUUCAUUAAGUAAACACACCAUUAGUGUCAUACUAGGGAAAGCAAAAGUGAGUAAAUUAGUAAAAAAUUUUAUUCUUAAGGCCAUAAUAAUUAAAUAUUGGAAUUAAUCUCAAUAAUAUAUGAUUCUGUUUCAGAUUAAUAAUUAUAUAUGAUGCUGUCCUUAUUCAUCUUUAAUUUUCCUUUACAUGCAAUAGAGAAUCAAAUUAAUGAACAACAACAUAAAAAUUGGCUGCAAGAACAUAUUCGACGCUCAAAAUAUAAGGUGCUUUGGCUAUCUGUUUAUAUGCUCUCCAUUGCGUACGGAGCCGCGGUAUUAUUUGGAGCUAUUGCAGAGUUUGAUCCAACAAUGCAAGAACAUAUUCGACGUAUUAAAACCGGUGAAAUUCAUGAUCAUUAUCUUGGACAUAACAUACAAAAUGAACUCAUAUUAAUGCUAGCACUUGAAAUAAAAAAAGAUAGAAGAAUAUUUUUUAGGAUUUUUACAAGUUGACAAUACCACUGGAAAAGGUCUUUUAAUGAACUUGUGGAUGUAAUUAAAACUCUUGAACUUGAUAUUAAUGAUGUAAGAGGACAAGGAUAUGAUAAUGGAUCUAAUAUGAAAGAAAAAAAUCAAGGUGUACAAAAAAAAUUAUUAGAUAUAAAUCCUAGAGCAUUUUAUACACCAUGUGGCUGUCAUAGUCUUAACUUAGUGCUUUGUGAUAUGGCUAAUUCUUGUCCUAAGGCUAUUUCAUUUUUUGGAGUUGUUCAACGUGUUUACUCACUAUUUUCUUCUUCACCUAAGAGAUGGAAAAUUUUACAAGAUAAUAUACCUAAUUUAACUGUUAAAUCAUUGUCACAAACACGUUGGGAAAGUCGCAUAGAAAGUGUCAAAGCAAUAAGAUUUCAAACUCCCCAAAUUAGAGAUGCUUUACUUGAAUUAGCAGAAGUUAGUGAAGAUCCUAAAAUAAAAAGUGAAGCUAAAUGUUUAGCAACAUAUGAAUUGGAAAACUUUGAAUUUUUGUUAGGCAUGAUUAUUUGGUAUGAUAUAUUAUUUGCUGUGAACACUGUUAGUAAAAGCUUACAAAAGGAAGAUAUGCAAAUUGAUGUUGCCAUAAAUCAACUAAAAGGUCUUACAUCCUUUUUUGAGAAUUACAGAGAAAAUGGUUUUGUGUUUGCUAUGAUUUCAGCUAAAGAGAUUGCAAAUGAAAUGGAAAUAGAACCAAAAUUUCAUGAAAAACGUAUAAUUCGUAGAAAAAAUAAAUUUGGCGAGAAUAAUAAUGAAGAGAAAAUUCUAUCUCCCGAAGAUUCUUUUAGAAUUGAUUACUUUGUAUAUAUAGUAGAUCAAGCUAUUUCUUCAAUCACCAAUAGAUUUGAGCAAUUUCAAUUCUAUGAAAAUAUUUUUGGAUUUUUAUUUAAUUUUGAAAAAUUAAAAUCAUUAGAUGAUGAAAGCUUAAAAAGUUAUUGUAUUAAUCUUGAAAAUAUCUUGAAAUAUGAUAUGUUUUCUGAUAUUGAUGGAUUAGAUUUGUUUUCAGAGUUAAAAGUCUUAAAAGAAGUUUUACACAUGGAAAGAAAUAGUCCACUUGAUAUACUUAAUUAUAUUAAAAAAGUAGAUUCUUUUCCAAAUGCAUUUGUUGCUUAUAGAAUAUUAUUGACUGUACCUGUAACUGUUGCUUCUGCUGAGAGAAGUUUUUCUAAAUUGAAGUUAAUAAAAUCUUAUUUAAGAACUACAAUGUCACAAGAAAGAUUAAAUGGAUUAGCUAUAUUAGCUAUUGAAAAAAAUUUGUUAGCUAAAUUAGAAUAUAAGAUUUUAAUUAAUAAUUUUGCAUCUCAAAAAGCAAGAAGAAUAAAAUUUAAUUGAUUAGUAAUUUGCAUUAGUGAUGGCUUGCAGCAAGGAUCAUAGUAGGUAAACAAUUGUUGUAAUUCAAGAUAUUAUUGAAUAUAGUUAAAGUUUGAGCUAUUUGAUGUUGUUGUGAGAAUUUUUUGAGCCGUUUAAUGUUUUUGUGAGAUUUGGUAUUUUAACAUCAAAAGGCCUAAAAUAAAAUUUCGCCUAAGGCCCCCAAUUGGUUAAAGCCAGUCCUGGCUGCUACUCAUGUAGCAAAAGUUGAUAAUGCAAUCAUCAAUCACAUUAACAUAACUAUUAGCUUCCACAUUGGAAUUAUGAAACCAACCUAACGCUAAGAUGCAUUUAAUAAUGACUUCAUAGAGUAGGAAAAAUAAGAGCCUAAAACCCAAACAAAUUAGUGAGGUGAAGUGUGGUCCAUGUUUUCAGAAUGGGACUUCCACUAUCACUUUAUUAAAUUGAAAAAAACAAAAAUAAUCCCAACAUACUCUAUAAAUUAAAUGCUUUGCACAUUCAAAAGUUACAAGUACGGAAGCUACUAAACUAAUGGAAUCAAAGCUUACCAAUCUCUCUCUUCAUUUGAGCUCCUGUCUGAUCCUUGCCCUGCUGCUUUUCAACAAAGCUGCAACAGCAAGAAGCAGCAACAUAUGCAAUGGUUCAAUAGCAGAGUGCAGCGAGGAAAUUGAGAUGUUUAUGGAGUCUGAUAUCAGCAGAAGGUUUCUUGAAGAAAGGAAGAAAUAUAUAACACCAGGGGCUCUAAAACCGGACCAACCAGUUUGCAGCGGCGGCGGCAGAGGUGAUGCUUAUAGUAAAAGUGGAGGCUGUCUUCCUCCAAGAUCUAACAGAGAUACCCGAGGCUGCCCUGCAUAUUAUCGUUGUAGGUCUGGCUCUUGAAAACUAUUGCCGUUGGCUCGUUCUAUGUUUUUCUUUUAAUCUUUGGGCUGUGAAAGGACGCAAUUACAUGAUAUAUCUUUGAUCAGAUAUGAUAAAAAGAUCGAAGCUUUCUACUUUUAAGAUAUGAUCCAAAUGUUUUUGCUCUCAUCACAUCUGGAUGUUUUCAGUCAAACCAGCUUCUGCAGCCAUAUCAUUUUUCGCUCAAGAAAUAAAAUAAAAUAAAUAUCCAUGCCGAGUUUAGGCUUUCUUCCUGGGCUCUAUUCAAAGACAAAUUCUAGUUUUCUUAUAUAAACAAUGAGAAAACUUAAAUUACUAUACUUUUUCGCUUGAUCCAAGACCACUCACUAAAUACCUUAGAGCAACACUUAAAUAGCUCCGUUUUGAGAAUUUUAACAAUCUUUAUGAUGUAUUUAGGAUUGAGGUUGGGCAGUUAUAGCUUAAAAAUUACAGCACUAAAGUAUUUGGUAAACACUAAUUGUUGUAGCUUUUAAGCUAUGUUGAUAUGAUUUUUGACUUGUAUAAUACAAAAUCUAAUAUAUUUUUAAUAAUUUUAUCAAAAUUAUUAUUUAAAAUUUACAUUUACUAUAUAUUAUUAACUUUUGUUUUAUAAUUACAGUUUUUUUUUCACAACAACUGUAGCUUUUAAGCUACAACACUUCAAUUCCAAACGCACCCUUAGACUGUCUCCACCCAAAUAGUGUAUAUUUCAUAAAUGUCAAAUGUGCAUGCACACAACCAUCUAGCAGCAGAGGUCCUUCAAAGCUUCAAGCAUAAAAGUGAAUCUUCUUAUGACACAUUUGACUAGUGUAUCUAUCCAUCAGGACCCUCACUUGGUUCUUGGAGAUUUCUUACUCUUUCAAGGAGGGAAGUCCAAAGUCCCAACGCCAACAAAUAAAGGAGAACAUGUUCCCUUGUAAAUCAUAGACCUCAAUUUUUAAAAUUUAAAGAACAAACAAAAGAGCGAGAGAGUGUGGCUAUUACAACAUUAAUUUUAGAUGAAAUAAUAUGUAAAUAAAAUUGAAUGAAGAAUGAUAAACAUUGUUAUACAUCCUUGCAGACAAAAACAUGGAUGAUGAGCAAGGGGGUUUACAACGUAAAAUCCAAAUGCAGUAUUGCUUCUUUCCAAGUGUUUAUGAGUAACAAACAGAUUUAUAUCAGAGCUACAAGUACCGAGACAACGAGAAACAACGAGAAAGCUAGUAAUAUAAAUACUCAUGCUCAAGAAAGCUUGGGCAUAAAUACUAAUAGAUAAGUAACGAUGCAAUGGAAAAUAUACCUAUUUUGUCGAUGCAAACACAUUCAGCAAUUUCAGAUAUUGUGAUAUAUCAUAAAGAAGUUAAAUACAAAUUACCAAAUCAUAUAGUGCAAAAUAAAUCAUAGUAGGCCCCAUUGUUUAAAGCAAGUCCAAUAUUUACAACCAUAAUGCUUGUGCAUUCGGCUGAAGUCCAGUUCACCAUCAUAAAAAAAAAAAAUGAUAACUGCAGUUCACAAUGGAAUAUAUAAAAAAUAUCAUCGCUAGUUUAAGCAUCAAGUACAAUUUUUAAAAAAAUAGUGACAAACAAAAAGGAAGACGCACGCUUUUAUCAAACAUGGAAUUUUCUUGUUCGUUUGUUCCAUGUAGAGUAACAUCUGUAGUAUUUAACCCCUUGAACAUGAGGCUAAGUGGCUACAACUCAACACAAUUCCAGGUCACAAUCCAAAACCUAAAAAUUACAGCUCUACUUAACUGAAAGCUUCCAUACCUCUCUGACAUUAGAAGAACCAUCCGCCACUUCAGCAACCAGGCACGCAUCCAUACUACCUGCAAGAGGAAGGAAAAAGAAGGCCAAUUAACAAGAUAUCACAACCCUUGUGUGUAUCGCUGGAUCUAAUUAUGCCAUUUGAGACCAUGCAGAUCAGAUAAAAAGUGCAGAAUACUCUGUAUAUUUCCAGGAAUUUCAACGGGUAUUUACACUUAUGUAUGUCCAGACAUGCAUGCACACUUUGUCCGUGGAGGAAAAUGAAAAAUUUAACCAGAUUCAAGAGCAAAGAAAGUUCUAGAAGAUGCAUGUAUGUGCUGUUACUGUAAACUUUUACGGUCCUAAGCCAUUUCAACCCAAGGGAGGAAAUAAAACACCAAUCAUCAUUAAAAUGUGGUUCAUUCUAGAAUUUAAAAUAACAAAUUAGAAGAAUUAUCUCACCAUCGUUCUCCACCAUAGACAGGAAUCGUCUUGUUCCACCACCUACACCAAAAUAAUGCUUCUUUGCUGCCAAGUACACAACUCCAUGUGGACGGCUGAUGCUCUACAAAUUAAUCACUUUUAGAAGUCAAUAAUUGAUAUUUGCAAAGAACAGAGAGAGGAAACAAUAAGAAACCAAUAUUUUAUGAUGAAAUACCUUCUUUAUAAGUCCAUAAAGACUUUGGUGAGCAGAAACUGAGUAAAUUGUCUCCGCCAUCAAAAUGAUAUCAUAGCCAGAAGUUGGACCGUCCCCUGGGUGACAGUUUAGAUCCUUUUCAUCAUACUUUACACAGGGAAGGAGUUGAUGGAUCUGACUCCAGUCACCAGCAAAAAAACGCACUUCUGCCCCAGACUGACAAUUUGUUUCAAUUGUUGCUGCAGGCUGAAGCUUUUUGGGCACGUUGGCAAUUACAUUGGGGAUUGUCAGAUAUCUUAAGACUUCAGCAUUAAACUCCUGGAAAUGUAUGACGGCAGCACCCUAAUGCAAGGCAGGGGAAAAACAAGCUUAAUGAACCGGAAGAUUUUAAAGCAUCUAGUUGUCAACAAUACAAUACAAACUAACCUCAAGGCAAGCAAAGAUCCCAGGAAGACCAUGACCACAUCCCAACUGGAAACAAUUACAUAAAAACCAGACAAAUUAUCAAAUCAAAGACAUAUGUAUCAGUAUACAUUGAAAGCCUUGUGCACGGAAUUAACAGAAACAAAGAUUUUGUUGUCGGAUUCAUUAAGCAAGGAGAAAUUCAGAAAUUAGUCAUAAUUGUCUCAAUGUAUACUGAGGUUAACAAUAACAUUAAUCUGGCACAAAUUGAAGUCAACAAUAACAUUAGCCUUAAAUUGGUACCUUAAACUCUUUUACUGGCUAUUUAAUGACCAAAUUAUAAUCAAUUUUUAAUACGUAGAUUCCAAUUGAACCAGGUAAUAAAUCCAUGGACAGAAAUAGAUGACCUUAUAUUCUAAUAUUUAUUGAAGCCACAAUAACACUCUAAAAAGCAACUCCAUUCAAAACAACACAGAAAAUUUAAAAAGAUGGAAAAAAACACUGGUCUUCCUCAAAGCACUUAAUAGCAUGCCAAAACUAUCAUGUAAACCUAUCCUGCCCAGCCAAGGAUUUUCUUCGAACAGUGUUAAAUUUUAAUCCUCCUCUUCAAUGACCUUGGUGCCAAGCCACCUCAGUCCUUCCGCUGGGAUUUCUGCAACAGCUACAAAGGAGUACUCUCUUCCUUAGCAUCUUCAUCAUUGUUCCUCCUGCGAAACGAACAAUGUGAAACCUAACCCUCCUUGGAACACUUCAGAUCCCCCUGCUCCAGAGUUGCUUGUUCAAUUUCACAUCAACCCUAGCAUCCUUAAUCCCCAUAGCUUUCUCUGCAAAUUUCCUGCUUCCCAUAAUGACUUUGGAGCUUUCUUCUUGAAUGUACAGUCAUGUAGAUGCUUGUGAAGGUUGAUGGUGAACUCUCUGGUCACCACCUCCUCCUUUCGUCCCUUUGUCUUCUCCACCAUUUUCUCUCGCUUUCCCUUUAUCUUUAAGGGUUCAAAAAAUGCAGGAACUCGAGAGGGGGAUGAAAGAGGGGACGAGGAUUCAAUAAAAUGAUGAAGUGUAAAACUCAAAACCCUCAAACAGAAGACCUUACAUCUUUAUGAAUUUAGUAGGCAAAACAUACUACCUUACAUCUCCAUGAAUUUAGUAGGCAAAACAGACUGCAGAAUCACCCAUUACAGAUGAUUGCUUAACCCCCCCCCCCCCCCCCNNNNNNNNNNNNNNNNNNNNNNNNNNNNNNNNNNNNNNNNNNNNNNNNNNNNNNNNNNNNNNNNNNNNNNNNNNNNNNNNNNNNNNNNNNNNNNNNNNNNNNNNNNNNNNNNNNNNNNNNNNNNNNNNNNNNGUACAGCAGCAAAAAAAAUCUACUUUUGUGCUUAUUCGAAGAAAACUAAUGAAUUGUAUUCUAACUUUUGCUGGAAACCGUCACUAAAAUAAUAAAAUCCAAGUCAAUAUCUCAAAUAUGUGUAAAAUUAGAAUAAUUAAUAUGCCCAUUCUUCAAUAUGUUGUUAUCAUAAAGAGUUUCAGUUUUGCCUAACUCUGCAUUUGAUAUUGAAAAAAACUAUGAGUCUCAAGUCCUAGUAUAUGUAAACUAACGGUCACGAUCAACAUGCCCAAACAUAAAAAAUAAAAAGAUGAAGUAAACAGUACAAAAUCACCUGAAACUAUGAGCCCACCUCUAAAACACGCUUUCCUGAAAAUGAUAUAUUACCGUUCUGAACAUCCAAGCACAGAGCUUUAACAAGAUCGAUCGAACCUUCCCACAACUUCAGGCCCCCUAAUCCCCAAAAUCACAUACAUACACAAAUGUGCACAAUCAAGCAAACAACAAAAGUAGAAAAAAAUAAAUAAAUAAAUAAAACAAAAUAAAAAAAGAAAGUGCAAAAACAAUUAAGGCUGUAGUAUGUGCACCUUCAUAUACUCCAGGAACUAAGUCAGAGUUAGGCAAUCCUAAAACUUCUUUAGUACUCACCCGACCCUAAAAGAAAAAUGUAAAACAGAACUUAGCCAUUUUCCUUACAAGAAAACAUGAUGAAGUUUCACUUGUGUAAGCUUAACAUUUUAUCAGGCAUUACAAGAAAAAUCCCAUAUGAAUUCUAAAAAGGGAAGCGUACAACAAUUAUUGAAAAGGGUGACACAGACCUUGAGCAAAGUGAGUUCACCUAAAUUGACUGGCUCCAGAGUGAAGUUGAGAGACGGUGAAACCUACUUAGCAUCAAAACCAAUCAAUAAUAACAACAAUAAUAAUGAAGUAUGAAAUAGCUAGCCAAGAUAAAUAAAACGGAGAAAGAGUGGCAGUGUAGAAAUUAAAACCUCAGAAGGAAGCACUUCAAGGGAAGGAGGAGGAGGAGGGAGAGGAGUUUCAUCCUCUUUAGAAUCAAGAAACGAUAAACCAAACAUUUUCUUCUGCAAGCGCCUGCUACUGCCAGUAGCUGCAGAACCAAACGUAACUGCUAUUUAUUUGUUGUUCGGAUUUUGUUCUUGGGACAAGGAAAUCAAGUUCUGGGCUUUGGGCUUCGGGCUUCAAUGGAUAUUAUACGCGAGUAAUGAUAUUUUGAGCCUUCAAGGUAUCAUCUAUUUUUUAAUUUAUUUUAUUACCUACCACAAUUAUCUGUAUUGAAAUAAAAAAUUAUUAUUUUAUUUUAUUAUCUUUCUAUCUCCCUUUCUCCCUACCAUAACUUUAUAAAUAUCACCUCACUCCAUCAACAACAAGCACAUCAUCAACACCACCACUAGCAGCACCUGUGGGAAAAAUAGCAUAUUGAAUUCUUAUUUUAAAAUAUAAUUUUAAGUGGACCUACUUUGUUUAAGUAAAAGAUUAUAAAAGUAUCUCUAAAAAAAUCUUUAAAUAAAACUUUAUUACAUAUGUGAAGAACUAUAUCAGCAUUUAAAACUUUAAAGGAUACUCCAAUUAAGAUUUUUUAAAUAAGAAAUAAUUUUCUCUCUCUUCAGUUUUGUAGAGUUACUUUCUCCCUUUUUAAUUUAUAUUUUAUUACUUUUUAUUGGAGAGAGAGAAGUGUUUUAAUUACCAUUUAUUUUUCUUUUAAAAAAUAUUUAUUUGAUUAAAAUAAUAUUAACUUAUUUCUAUUUGAAUAGCCUUUUGGAGAAUAACAUAUUUUUUCACUCUCUUAUUUGCCACAUAAGUCAACAAAUAAAUAUUUGAAGAAUAAAAUUAAUAAAGCCUUUUGGAAAUGGUCUAAGUGAUUUAGAUACUCUUUCAAAAGUAUAUUGAUGUAUUUUAUACCCAAAAUGAUACUUAGUUGAAUGAGAAAUUGACUCUUAGUGCAAGUUUGGUUGAAAAAAAUAGGAAAAGAGAAGAGGAAUAGAAAGGAGAGAGAUGGAGACAAAAUGAGAGAAAAAGAUGGUUAAUAUCGAUUUCAUUAUUUGAUUUGAUAUAGAGUUAUCUAUUAUUCUCUUAUUUCUUUUUCCUUUCCUCAUUUUCUCUCAUCUUACUUUCUUUCGUUUCUGCUAAUCAACAUGUCAUUAAAAUACACCCAUUGACUGCAUUGAAUAAUAGUGGAGUUACAAUGUAACAGUUUGUUGAGUUAAGAUUUAAUUAAUUGAUCAAUUCCAUGAUUUAGUUUUUGUAAUUUAUAAUUAAAUUCAAAAUAUAUUUUAAGAUUGUAAUUGUCAAUUAAAUUUAGGUUAUAAUAAGAAAUUAAAAUAGGAAUUUAAUACAUGAUUAAUGAGAAUGCAAUUACACUUUUGAAUUUUAAUUAAAAAAAUCAAUUUAAAGAAUUAAUGAGCGGUGGUUAUGCUUUCAGUUGAAUACUAAAAGUGCUCCAUGAGAAAUUACAUGCAGCAAUUAAAGAAUUUUUUUUGGUCAAAUUUGAGGAUAAAAAUGCCCCUCAUAAAAUCCUAUAAAUUGGCACCUUGUCUUCUUCACUUAUAGAGAAUAUAGAUGUGAGGAAAAUGAUGAGAAUAGAAUAGGGAAUAUAGAUACAAAAAUAAGGGUAGAUAAUCUUCAAUUCCUCUAUUGUCACAUUUGUAUUUUGAUAGAGUUUGAACACAAUGGAAAUUCACCAUAAAUAGAAUGGUUGUGUGACAUAGUUAUUUGAUCUGUUGUAUCUUGGUAGAUAGACCCCAUAAAAAUCCUAAAGAGCCACGGUAGGGGGCAUAAUUGUCUUAAGGAGACUGUGGUAUACACAGGCGGCAGGCCUCAAGUCUUUUCCUUACCUUUCUCCUUGAUUUUAUUAUUAUUUUGUAAUAAUUUUAUAUUUUGUAUCAGCUAUAUGCUUAAUUGUUCUCAUGUGUAUUUGUAGUUGCUUGAUCUGCAAUUUGUAUUUCGAACAUUUUCCUCAUAUUAUUGUGAUUUUUCUCAACAUCAGUGCCUAUCUUCUUCACCAUCAGCCUACACCUCUACCAACAUCUGAUAAGUUUAAAUAUUGGAUUUUGUUAAGUUUUAUUAACAAGUGAUGAGUUUUAUUGUUAUUAGUGAUAUUGAUUUUAAUUUUGUGUGAGAAUCUAAGGGUGUGUUCAAUUUUGUUUGUGAAAACAUGUUUUCUUAAAUUAAAAAUAAAAAUGAAAAUGCUACUUUGCAAUUGUUGAAUUUUGGUUUUAGGUGCAUGUCUAGUAUCAUUUUAUGUACCUUGUAUCAUAAAAUGAAAAUUGUAAUAUGUGUUUGGCAGAUAUAAUUGAAAAUGAUAAAAACAGUAAGUUUGUAUGUGAUAGUACUAUUUUCAAAAAUAUUAUUUUACUAAACAUUUAAGUCAGACCUGUUAAGUCCAUUAUUUAUAGAGUUGGCAUCUUAUGGCAAGUCUAGUUAAAUUGGAAUUUUAGUUAUUGCAUAUCUUGUAAUAGAGAUUAAUUUAUUAAUUCCCUAAUUUAGUGAGAUUCUAAUUUAUUAGGAAUAUUUGUUUCCUAAUUUAAUUCGAUGUCUAAUUUAGCAAGUCAAUAAAUAAUGAGAUUCUAUAAUUGGCGCAUGAAAUCUAUUUAGAACAAGAACUUGGUUUAGACAUGAAAUUUAUUAAAUGCUCUAAAUAUUUCUUGGGAGACAAGUAAGGUAAGAAGAUUAGAUUUAUUCUUAUUCAAAUUCGUAGGAAUUAUAAGAGAAAAGAAAUUUUUAUUUGAAAAGAAUCCAAAUCUUUUAAGACUUGCUAUUUUUAUGAAACCCUAGUGCUUAUAUAAAGAGAGAUAUUUCACAAUUGAGGUAUUUUUGUGAAACCCUUAAUGAUCGUGGAUCAAGAAGGGUAGCGAUUAUUCAAGAGAAGCAGAUUCAGUCUAAGGUUGAGUAAACUGUAUGGUGAUAAAUUGUAAGUGAGGGUCUUAAGUUUAGUAAAUCCAUAGAUUGUAAUAUCUCAACUUAGUGAAUUGCUUUUCAUCUGGGUAUGGUCUCGUGGAUGUAGGAUUGAUUAAUUUGAACAACGUAAAAAUCACCGUGUCAUUUAUUUUUUGCAACUUAUUGUGUUUUUGGAAAAUUAAUAAUUUUUUAUGCGGAUGAACAAUAACAAUAAACAAUAUUUUUGAAAAUUAAUUAAGUUGUUAAUUCUACAAAAUCUAGCUAGCCUUCUAUAACAUAACAUCACUAUGGAACCAUCCUUGAACCUUUAAUCAUUUGUAAGCUUCUGUAAAUUAUACUUAAAUAAUUGAGAAUUAUUUCGAAGUAUUUGACUUAAAACAAUUUAAUAAAGGUUUUCAUUUUAAAGACAAUUUAUAACACAAGUAUUUAAUAAAUAAAUUUUAUUAUAAAUAAUUUUAAAGAAUGAUUUUACUUAACAAAAUAUUAAAAUAGACUUAAACAAAUCAGUUUUAAAUAUUUUUCAUUCAACGUAAUACAUACCUCAAAUUAAAAGUAAUUUAAUAGUGAAAUACAUGUACCAUGCAUAAAUCUACUUACUCCGAUCCUUAACAACAAAAAGAAUGGUAACCUCAACCACGAGCUCACUUUAGUCCUAAAACAUCAAGGCACAUUCUUAUCAAUAUUAUUGCUCAUUCUGACCUUGAUAUAAAUCCAACAAAAUCAAGCUUAGUAAUAAGCACUAAACCAUCAAAGCUAGUCUAAACCUGACCAUCCUAUACAAGCUGAUUUUUACCAAACUAAUCAUAUGUAGGAAAAGUAUAAAAAAAUUAAAUAAAACCAUAAAAAUGUGUAGCAUUUCAUAUGAAAAUUCAAAAAAUGAAUAAAAGUCAGAAAUAUCUUGCAAAAAGAAUUUUGCAUUCAAAUAUCCACACUGUCUAGCAAUGUUAAAAACAGAGAUAGAUGAAUUAGAAAAUUCGUAAAAUAUUUAAUAAAACUCAAAAAAUUUACACCACUUGAAUAAUAGAAACAUCAGAAAACAAUAUAUCAAAUUUCUAAAAUUUUUGAAGAUGUAAAACUAUUUUAAACGAAUUUAUAUUGAGAGACUAGCAAACCUGUCCAGAAACUUUCAAGUUUGUGUUUUGCAUUUCAAAAAUUCACAACUUAAUAUUAACUCAAUAAAAAUUACUCAAAUAAACUUUAAAUGAUAUAGAACUCAUAAUAUUAUAGGAAUAUAAUUUUUAUAGGUCAUUCUAAAGCCUUUUACCAACCUAAAAUAAUUUUAUCAUUAGCCAUCGCAAUUCUAAAAAGCAGUCUCUAGAAUUGCAGCAGCCCAACAUAACAAUUUUUAUUAACUUCUAUACUCAACCAAAAAUUAUGAAAUUAAACAUACAGUAAUUAAACAUAAUGAGUAUUAGAGAAGAAAAUCAAAAUAAUUUUCAGAGAUCAUUUGGAUAGUCAGAAAAAUUAGCAAAGUCAGACAUGCUGCUGAAAAUCAGAAUUUUCCAGCACCACUGUUCCAAAUUAAAAAAUUCAUAACAAAUUGGUAACAUGGGAUCUCUUUGCACAAAAUACAUCAUUGAAAACCUUAGGAUGUCUAAUUUUAUGGAAAGUUUCGUGCAGAAAUCAAAUAAAAAAUAAAGGAAAAGAACAAUAAUCAGAACACACUGCUCAUGCCUCAUAAUGCCUUGCUAGUCAUUCAUGAUAAAGAGAACAAUGCAUGCAUUCAUUAUCAAACACAUAAGAUCGUAUUAUAGAGCAUGUAUUAAAGAAGGAUAAAUACCUCAACAUUUCUUUCAAACGUGCAUGAAAGAAAACCCUAGAAUUCUUUGCUUUUAUACGUUUAUUUAAUUAAAGAGUUUUAAAUCGUGGGGAGAUAAGAGGAGUUUAAGUUUUAUAAAAACACUUGCUUUUAUAUAUAUAUAUAUAUAUACACACACACACAUAUAUAUAUACGCACGAUAAAGAUAGAUAAUCCCUUAUAAAUUUUUUUAAAAAAGUAAAUAAAAAGAAUAUAUGUUAUCUCAAUAAUGCUAAUUAAAAUAAAUUCACACAAACAAAAGAUCAUAUUAAAUUCAAACAAAUAAAGAACCUGUGUUACAAAGAAUUUCGGAGAGAUGAUCCCUAUAAAUUGUUUCGGAUAAAGGGAGAUUAUGUUCAAAUAAGAAAAAGUAGAGAAAAGUUAGGAUUGGAAAAUAUGAAGUGAGUAUUUUACAAUUCAUUUUAUAAUUAGUUUUAUAAAAUACUGAAAAUAUGUCUAACUUGUUUUAUAAUUUAUAACGGUAAGGUAAAGUUUGUAUUCUAUGUUUUGUACUUUGUUUUUAUGACACAUGCUACUGAAUGCUUAUUGCACUUGUACUUUACAAGCAAAAAGAAAAACAACUGGCCUAAAAUGAUACCGAACAUUUUCUAAGAUUUUGUUUAAUUUUAAUUUGAGAUUUGAUUAGGAGUUAAUAUUUGGUUCAAAUAUUAAAUCAAAGAGAGAGAGAGAGAGAGAGAGAGAGAGAGAGAGAUUUGAGAGUUGAUCUAUUCAAAACUUGAGAGAGAAGAAAAAAAUAUUUAUUUUUUAAUUCUUUUUUAUUUUUCAAUAAGUUAAUAAUGGAAUAAAUAGUAUUAAUUAAAAAAAAAUAACUGAUGAGAUAAAUUGAAGAAGUCAAAUAUCACCACUAUUUAUAUGUAGGGAUAGCAAAUGGACUGUGAUUGGCCUGAUCAUGCAUUUUUAGGCUAGGUUCUUUUAAAAUCAAAAUUUAAAGAAAAAAUAUUAAUAUUGAAUUUAGCUAUUCAAGAAAAUGUACUUAAAUAACUCAUCAUACGUCAUAAUGGGUUCGAAUACGAUUUUUUAUUUUUUAUUUUUUAAGUAACAAUCUAGAGUAAUUUUCUAUUUCUCCCUCAAGUGUUCCUCAUUCAUGGUGUGCAUCUUUCUUUACACGUUAAUAAAACAAAUUCAGACCAAAUCAGAGGAAAGAGAGAUCUUCUGGUCUCUCUCCAAUGGUCACCCACCGUCUUUUGUUGACUUACAGCCCGUAUAUAUUUUUGACUUAAUAACUUAAUUAACUUAUUUUUAAACAGUUAAGUUAUUCACUUGUUCAUUUUUUUAACUUAAUGAAAAUUUUCAGUUAUUAAGUCAUUAAAUUAUUAAGCUCAUUUUUUUUUUUAAAUUUUUUUGCUUAAUCUAAAGAGUCUAAAUGAUAUCAUGAAAAAAAUGUUCUCCAAGAUAUCCUUAUCUAAUUAAUUAAUUUUCAUUCUAACCUAAAUAAAAAUUAAUAAUUAGCAUUAUUACCUAUCUCUAUAACUUGUGAUAAUAUAGUAAUAGACUAUUAUUAUUAUUAUCUUUCUAUUCUCUUCAAAUUAGUUUUAUUUAUCUAAAUAAUUUUUUAUGAAUAUUUUUAAUAUAAAAACAUCAUAAAUUACAAUAAAAUUGAUUAACACAUACUAAUUAAGAAUGUUAAAGGAUUGUAUUCAAUUGAAUAUGAUUUAUGUUAUGAUAAUAUAUUGUUUUAUUUAUGUUCUUUGAAAUAUUUAUUAUUUGUUUCACGUUUAUAAUUUGUAAGAGUAGAAAUGUAAAAAUAUUAGUUUUCAAAAUUUUUUAAGUUAAAAAAAAACUUAAUACUUAUUUUUAGCGAUUUGCAUUAAAAAAACAACAAUAUCAUUCAGAUUCAAACAUUCAAUUCUAUUCAGAAUUCAUACUAAUUAAUUUUGGUUUAUUUAGACUUCAGAUAAAAAAACAAAUGCCAUUUUAGUUUUUCUCCUUUCCUUUUUAGUAUAGCUGAUUUUAUCCAUAAAUCUAUAUCUUGUUAAGAAAUAUUGUUUUUAUUUGUGCCUAUCUCAAUAAUAUUGCAGAGCUAAUUUUACCUAAUCUAUAGGAGAAUUUAGUUGAAAGUGUAGUGGCCUAGCUCAUGUUAUUGCCUAAAGAAUAAUACAAAGUAAAGAAGAUGUUAGAGUUGGUUCGUCUAUACAUUUCCUGACCCAUAAAACCAUUUUCUAAUAGUGAUUAUGAUGCCAUUACAUUUAGAAAAGGCGUCAAAGAUGAAAAGUGGCAAAAUCCAUAAAUGAAAAAAAUCAUUAGAGAAAAAUAACAAAUGAGAGUUGUCGCAUAUCCUAAGGCGCAAACAAUCAUUGGUGCGAAAUAUUAGAAAAAUAACAUAAAAUGGCUAAUUUAAGGCUAGUUUUGAUAUUGAGGAAAUAUACUUAUAUAGUUUAUUCAUAAUCUCCUUUGCGAGUUCUUCGUAAUGAAUCAUAAAACACUCAAAUUGCUGCUUCUAUAAAUGAAAAAAUAGAUCUUAAAGAGCACCCACUGGUUUAAAAAAAUGAAGGAAAAUUCCAUUUAAAUUUAUAUAGCUCUAGAAUUUAACCGAAAUGAAAUUAAAUAUGAAAUGAGUAACAACAAUAUCAAUAAAAUGUUGUAAUAAUUAUUGCUAUAGAAAAUGGAAAAGGCUGUUAAAGAUUAAUAUAGUUGUUCUUUAAGGGAAAUAUAACUUAAAUAGACACUUAUAUAACCUAAGCAUCACUGAUAAGGUAGAGAAUUUGUUUUAAGGACAGUAUAACUUUAUAGGCCUGAGGUGUAUACAAUUUUUUUUUUGCUAAUUAUAUAUUAUUGUGAUUUAUAAUAUAAUAAAGUUAUUUCAAUUUUAUUAUUAUAAACUUGUGACAAGGGUGUAAAUGGGUUAUUGGUAAGUUUCAGUACUCUAUGAAUGUUCUGUCAUAAAGGCCAUAUUUUACCUAAGGAAUUUGGGUUUUAAAGAGGACCAUUUAUGACCCUUGUAAUCUUUCCUAAAAACCUAAUUGGUUUAUUUUUUAAUAUAAUAUGGGCUAUCUUAUAUCUCUUACCAUUAGUGGAAUUUGCAACAAUUUUAAUACUGAUUUUUGAAAUAUUGAAAUGGUAAUUGAUAAGAGCUAGCAAGCUAAAAGUUCUUAGAUGACUCUUGUUGUCUCAACGUUGCUAUUGCCUCUAUGGUUUUUCCAGCCAAUCACAGAAAAACCAGAGAAAUUCAUUAGGCAAAAUUUCAAAUUGUGGCAAUAGAAAAUGUUCUUGUUAUGAUUCUAUCAACGUAUUGAACUUGAAAGAACAAAUUAAAGAAAUGAAUCAAGAGAGAAGCAUAAGAAAACUUAAGCAAAACACAGUUUCAAGUACACAACUUGAUGAAGGAAAAAGCUGCUCUUUUAUUGAUCUCAAUAAUCGAAAUACAAGCUAAUCACCAAGAAGGAAUUACAAGGAUCACUAAGAACCAAAUAGCUAGCAAAAUGACCAAGAAAUGAAGAAGAUAUCGAUUUGAUAUCAAAGGCUUGACAAACGUGCUUUUUAUUCUGGUAUUUCUGGAAAAGCUAUAACGAACCCUUUAACAAAUUCUGCCACGUCAGUUUUUAUUUUCAACCAGACCCCUCUAGCUGAAGUCGAAUUGCACUCUGCCCCAUAAUUUCUUCAAGUCUUGCAUUUAAACCCAACGAACCAGCAACUUAUUUCCUCACAUUCUCCACCUUGCACUCGAUUCAGUUGAUCAUCUCAAUUAAGAAACAUAAAAAAAACCUUCAAAACACACAGUUUAGGAACUAGAGCUGCCGCCGACACCAAUUAAGUCUACACAGAACUUAAAUUUGGUUGUUGGCAGCACUUUGGUUAACAUAUUAGCAGGGUUGGUAUCUGUAUGUAUCUUGAUAACUGCAAAUGACCCUUUUGUAACCUCAUCUCUGAUAAAGUGCAACUUCACAUCAAUGUGCUUUGUUCUCUCAUGAUAAACCUGGUUUUUGAUGAGCUGAAUGGCACUCUGAUUGUCACAAAAAAUUUCCACAAUUCUUUGUUUUAACCAAAGUUCAUUUAGCAACCCUUUCAACCACAUUGAUUCUUUCACUGCCUUUGUUGCAGCAACAAAUUCUGCCUCAGUAGAUGACAAAGCUACUAUGUGCUGUAGAGUAGCUUUCCAACUUAUGAGAUAGUUAUCCAACAUAAACAGAUAUCCUGAGAUAGAUUUUCUUAUGUUCUCAAGUCACCUGCAAAAUCAGAGUCAACAUACCCUCUGACUUCACAGACCUCAUGCUUGGAUUUACCAUACAUCAGACCAUGAUCUAAGGUGCCCUUCAAGUACCUCAUGACCCAUUUCACAGCAUCCCAGUGAAGCUUACCAGGGUUACUCAUAAAUCUGCUCACAACAUUUACUGCAUAAGCUAUGUCUGCUCUGGUGCAAACCAUUGCAUACAUCAAGCUUCCUACAACCUGUGAGUAUGGUAUAUCAGCCAUCUGUACCUCCUCAGCAUCUGAUGUUGGAGACAUGUAAUCAGAGAGUUUGAAUUGAGCUCCCAGAGGUGUCAGUACUGGUUUUGAGUCCAUCAUCUGAAAUCUUUCCAGCACUUUGCUGGUAUACCUUGAUUGACUUAGAAAUAAGGUACCAGCAGCUAUAUCUCUAACAAUGUCUAUACCAAGAAUCCUCUUGGCAUUGCCAAGAUCUUUCAUUUCAAAUUCCCCAUUCAGCAGAUUCUUGAGCUUUUCAAUAUCACUAAGAUUUUUACCAGCAAUGAGUAUGUCAUCAACAUACAAUAGGAGAUACACAGCUCCACCUGAGUUUAUAAUCUCAUGAUAGACACAACUAUCAUAUUUGCUCCUAUGAUAGCCAUUGGAGAUCAUAAACUGGUCAAAUCUCCUAUAUUAUUGCCUAUGAGACUAUUUCAAGCCAUAUAGGGACUUCUGUAGAAGACACACAUAAUCCUCAUCUCUAGUUAACUGAUAUUGUUGUAAGUCAAUUGUUUGUGGUACUUCACCUUUUGUUACUUCUGCAUCUUGAGAUUCAGCUUUAACAACUUCUGGUUGUAUUUCAUCUUCAUAGGCUUUAGACAACUCCACCUCAAUCUUUUCACCUUGAUCAAUUUCUGCAGUGGCUUAUGUGUCACUUGUACUAAUGUCAGUAGCAGAAGUGACUUGAUCAGGGUUAUUGAUCAUAGCCACUUCAUUAAAUUGGACAUCUGUACUGAUCAGACACUUGUUUGCCUCUCUGCACCAGACCUUGUAGCCUUUGACCCCAUCUGGAUAACCAACAAAUACUCCUUUUAUAGCUCUUGCAUCAAGCUUCCCUUGUCUGACAUGGACAUAAGCAAGGCAUCCAAAUACCCUAAGGUGUUCAUAUAUUCCAGGUUUUCCAGACCAGAGUUCUUCAGGAGUUUUGAAACUAAUUGUAGCAGAUGGACUUUUGUUCACCAUGUAACUAGCUGUAGAAAUAGCUUCUGCCCAAAAACUCCUAGGAAGCUUAGAGUUUAUUAACAAACAUCUUGUCUUGUCAACAAGUGUUCUAUUCAUCCUCUCAGCUAAACCAUUUUGCUAAGGGGUGAAUCUCACUAUUUUGUGCCUCCUAAUUCCCUAUUUCUGGCAGCAUUGCUCAAACUCUUUAUUACAGAAUUCAAGCCCAUUAUCUGUUCUUAAGCAUUUUACCUUAAAAUCAGAUUGAGUCUUCACCAAAGUCUUCUAAAUCUUGAACUUCUCCAAGGCUUGGUCUUUGGUCUUCAAUAUGUAUAUCCAUACUUUCUUGGAGUAGUCAUUUAUGACUGACAUAAAGUAUCUUCCCCCACUUAAGGAUGGCACUUGUGCAGGCCCCCACAAAUCAGCAUGCACAUAGUCUAAAGGUUGCUUAGAUAUAUGCAUGCCCUUUGGGAAUUUGGACCUGUGUGCUUUGCCAAAGAUGCAAUUUUCAGAAAAAUCUAACUCAUCUAUUCUAUCACCAGACAACAACCCUUGUUUACUCAGCGCUUGCAUUCCCCUAAUACUCAUAUGGCCUAGUUUGAGGUGCCAUAACAUGGUUCUAUCAACAUCAGAGACAACAAGCAUUGCAGCUGACACAGGUACUGAUGACCCUUCUAACACAUAUAGGCCAUUUUUAUUUACUCCUUUCAUUAUCAUCUCAGUCCCCUUCAUAAUCUUUAAACCACCAUAUUCAGAUUUAAAGCAAUAUCCCAUACUAUCCAACAUGCCUAAAGAGAUCAGGUUCCUCUUAAGCCUAGGUGCAUGCCUUACAUCACAUAGAGUUUUAACAGACCCAUCAAACAUCUCUAUUUUGACAGACCCCAUACCAAUAAUUUUACACACAUUGUUGUUACCCAUCAACACUCUACCACCAUCCACAGAUUCAUAUGUAUAGAAAAGGCUUUUAUCAGGACACAAAUGAAAUGAACAGCCUGAAUCAAGAACCCACUGACCUUUGAUAUUGAUGUUUGAAGCCACCAAUAAAUCAGCACUAUGGUAUCCAUCAUCAGAGGAGUCAUCUGAGGCCACUGCUGCAUCCCCUGUUCUUUCUUUUUCAUCAUUCUUUUUCUCAGUACAAUCUCUGAUGUAGUGACCUUAUUUUUUACAGUAGAAACACUUUCUUUUCUUCAUUUUUUCUUUUGCAGAUGCAUCAUCCUUUUUAACUUGAUUCUUGUUCUUGUUCUUCUGAUUUUUCUUAUCUGUUCUGGCAAAUAAACCUUCACUAUUACUAUCUUCAUGCCCAUUAUUCUUCUGAAUUUCCUUAGAGCUCAAGGAGGCUUUCACAUCUUCUAGAGUUAGAGUGGUUCUCCCAUACAGCAUGGUGUCCACAAACCCUUCAUAGAUCUUAGGCAAUAAACUCAGUAAAAAUAAAGCUUUAUCCUCAUCCGUGAUUUUUACAUUUUCAAUUCCUUCAAGAUCAAUAAUGAACUUGUUGAAAUUGUCAAUGUGUUCUUAAAUCGAGACCCCUUCUCUCAUAGAAAAGGUGUAUAAUCUUUUCUUCAAGAACAAUCGAUGUGCCAAGGAUUUUUUCAUACACAAAGCCUCCACCUUGUUCCAGAUACCAAUGGCAGUCUUCUCUUCAGAAAUCUCCCUUAAAAUUGAGUCACUGAGACUCAAGAUCAGGCUACUAUGAGCCUUGUUCUGUAUCUGUCUUUUCUUCUCAUCAGAGACUGAGCUUGAAACACCUCCAAGAUCACUUCUUCCAGGGCUGAUUCGAGACCCUGAUGAACAAGGAGAGCUCUCAUUUUCAUCUUCUAGAGUGAAAAGUCACCACCAAUGGUGAACUUUUCAAUAUUGGGCUUUGGAAGAGACAUGUUCUUGAACCACCAAAGGCUCUGAUACCAGUUGUUAUGAUUCUAUCAACGUAUUGAACUUGAAAGAACAAAUUAAAGAAAUGAAUUAAGAGAGAAGCAUAAGAAAACUUAAGCAGAAUACAGUUUCAAGUACACAACUUGAUGAAGGAAAAAACUGCUCUUUUAUUGAUCUCAAUAAUCGAAAUACAAGCUAAUCACCAAGAAGGAAUUGCAAGGAUCACUAAGAACCAAAUAGCUAGCAAAAUGACCAAGAAAUGAAGAAGAUAUCGAUCUGAUAUCAGAGGCUUGACAAACGUGCUUUUUAUUCUGGUAUUUCUGGAAAAGCUAUAACGAACCCUUUAACGAAUUCUGCCACGUCAGCUUUUAUUUUGAACCAGACCCCUCUAGCUGAAGUCGAACUGCACUCUACCCCAGAACUUCUUCAAGUCUUGCAUUUAAACCCAACGAACCAGCAACUUAUUUCCUCACAGUUCUUUUACUUGAUCAUUUUGAAUCUUGCAAGAUUCUUAAUAAAGGGCGACACUGAUAUUCAAGUGAUCAAUGGAAUCAAUGCUUGGAAUCAUUCUGAUUUCCUUCGUAGGAAUUAUGCAUUAAAUGGCUUGAGUGAUUCUUUAUACAAUAUAUAUACUGAAAAUAAAAAGGCUAAGGAGCAAUGGAAGUAAUUAGACCAAAAAUAUAAAAGAAAGGACAAUGACACUAAGAAAUUUGUCAUAGGCCACUUUUUAGAUUAUAUGAUGGUGGAACAAGAAAUUUGUCAUAGGCCACUUUUUAGAUUAUAUGAUGGUGGAACCUAUAAUUGUCUUGAGUCAAAUUCAAGAAUUGCACAUAAUUCUGUUAGAAAUUCAUGCCGAGAGCGUGGAUUUGAGAAAAUUUUUAAGUGGCUUGCUAUCAUUGAAAAGUUUCCUCUUGUAUAGAAAGAUUUCAAGAUUUAUCUUAAGCACAAGAGAAGGAAAUGAAUCUUGAGCACCUAGGUUCUAAAACUUUGAAUUUAAUAAGACAACAAAAAUAAUCAUAAGAAAGUUGUCAUUGUUGUGGCUAAGGCUAAUAUUAUGCAACAUUGUUAGAGCAACAAGAAUAACCUUGGUCUAAAAGGUGUCUCCAAAAAGCAAACCAAGUUUCAAAGGAAAUGCUUCAAUUGUGAUAAAAGGGCCACAAGGCUUUAGAAUGCAAAUUGCUGAAGAAGAAAUGAAACCAAGAAGCUAAUGUGGUAGAGAACAUGGCUCAAGAGUCAAGAUGUUUAUGACAUUAAUCUUUCUACAACGAUUUAUAAAGUGAAUCUGAUGAGCUUAAAUCUAAGAGAAUGAUGGACUGAUAUAGGUACCACUUGAUACAUAUGCUCAGUAAAUAAAAAAAAAAGUUUAUUUCUUUUGAACUAAAUAGAAAAGGGAAAAAGCUAUAUAUAAGGAAUUUAGUAAUGUUUGAUACAUAGGGUCAAGUAAAGAUAAUUUUAGAGAUGACCUUUGAGAAAAAGCUAACUCUAAAUAAUGUUCUAUACAUGCAAAUUUGCAAUAAUCUUAUGUUUGGAUCGCUUUUGAACAAUCAUGGGUUUUAGAUGGUUUUUAAAUCUAGUAAAAUAGUUUUGUCUAAGGAUGGAAUGUAUGUGGGAAAAGGAUAUGUUUCAAUGGGCUAUUUAAGCUUAUUAUAAUGAUUGUGAAACAAAAUAAUAGUAAAUCAAUUUCUUAUUUUGUUAAGUCUUCUAAUCUGUGGCAUGGUAGAUUAAGACACAUUAAUUAUAAUUUCAUGCAUAAAUUAAUUAAUAUAAAUUAUACACCCUCUUUCCAAAUUGAUAUAAGACAUAAGUGUGAAUCUUGUGUUGCGACAAAACUAAUAAAGUCAUUAUUUCAAAUAAUUGAAAAGAACAUUGAACCAUUUGGUAUAUAAUACAUAAUAAUAUAUAUGAUUUUAAAUCCAUUCAAUUAAGAGGUGGUAAUAAGAAGAAUUCUUUUUCCGUGCCAAGUAUUAUUUUUGGGAGGAUCCAUUUUUAUAUAAGCAUUGCUUAGACUAGAUUAUUCGGCAAUGUUUGCUAGAAGAGGAGAUGUCAAUAAUUUUACAGCUUUGUUAUUCAUCAAAAUAUGGUAGGCACUUUGGUGCAACCAAAGCUGUGACAUAAGUACUUCAAUCCCAUUUUUAAUUGUCCACAUUAUUUAAAAAUGCUUACGCUUUUGUUGCUACUUGUGACCUGUGUAGAAGAACUAAUAAUAUUUCAUGAAAGAAUAAAUGUUAUUAAAUAAUAUUCUUAAAGUAGAAUUGUUUGAUGUUUAAGGAAUUGAUUUAAGUCCGUUUUCAUCUUUCUCUUAGAAUAAAAAUAUUUUAAUGGUUGUUGAUUAUGUUUCCAACUUGGUAGAGGCUUGUGCUUUGUCUUCCAACGAUGCUAGGGUUGUUGUUAAUUCUCUGAGAAAAAAUAUUGUUUCCUGGUUUGGCACUCCGUGAUCAAUUACCAGUAAUAGUGGGAAGCACUUUUACAAAUAAUAGUGUGAAGCACUUUUACAAAUAAUAGUGUCACGUGUAGAGUUGCCACUCUUUACCAUCUCAAACUAGUAGCCAAGUUGAAGUCUCUAAUCGAGAGUUGAAGAGAAUUGUGGAGAAAAUAGUAAAUAUAUCACGAAAGAAUUAUUCUAAGAAGUUAGGUGAUGUGCUUUGGGUACACCAUAAUAUCUUCAAAACACCUAUUUUUACAUCUUCUUAUUGUCUAGUUUUUAGAAAUGCAUGCCAUCUACCUGGUGAACUUAAGUAUAAGGCAUUUUGGAUUAUAAAGAUUUUAAACCCUAGCAUGCAAGCAGUAGGAGAGAAAAGGUUGUUGCAAUUAAAUGAGAUGGAUGAAUUCUACAAGGACACUUAUGAGCAUGCCCGAAUUUAUAAAGAGCAUUCCAAGAAUUAGCUUGAAAAACAGGUAUUGAGACGUGAAUUUAAGGUUGGGAAAGUUGUACUCUAUAAUUCUCAAAUUAGAUUUUUCCCUAGCAAGUUUGAGAUCCCGUUGGUCAGUAUUUCCAUAUGUCAUGAUAAAAGUUUCUCAUGUCACAAUAAGAACAUUUAAGAUGAGUGGUCAAUGAUUGAAGCUCUAUUUAGUUGGUACAAUUGACACAACCAUUAAACUCCUCAAUUCUGAAUGAUCAUCAGAGACUAUCAAGAUAAUGAUUAUAAAUUAAAUGCUUUUUAGAAGCAACCUAAGCUUUCUAAGUUUUAUUUUUAAUUCAUUUGAUCUUUUUCAUUUUUCUUGUCUUAUAUUUUCUCAAUCUUGUCUUUUAUUUGUUUGGCCUAGGUUUUUGCAUAAGUUAAGAAGUUCUCACUAUGGAUUUUCACAUGUCUUUUAACAACUUUAUUAUUAGUCUACAUCUUCGCGUACAAAACCUAAGGAGUUUCUCUUUUUUUUUUUUUCUUUCCAUUUACAUUGCGGAUAAUGUUCAUUUCAAAUUAGGGGGUGGAGUAUUUGCUUUCAUUCAAUGUUUAUUCAUUAAAAAGAUUUUAAAGAAAGUUGUUUUAUUUUCAUUUUAUGUGCUUUUAUCUUCGUACUCUUAUCUAAAAAAGCUAAAUUAAAAGCAUUAAUAGCUCCUUGAGACUGAGCAUGCCCACUAGAAAUCUCAUAGAGGAAUUGCCAACAUUAAAAUCUCCUCUAACAAUCCAAAGACUAUCACGAAUUUCAGCAAAAGCCAUAAGGUCAUCUCAGAAAUCUUUCCAUAUAAGAAUAGGGCAACUUUCAUAAACAUAAGAUAUAAAAAUAAGUUCAGGAAAAAAAGAAUGGAUAGCCCAACAAUGUAAUACGUAAUGUAUAUCUUAAAUAUCUCUACAGAGAGUAUAGAACACCAAAACACCCAAAUCUUUCCAGACUGAGAAGAAAUAACAUGAACUAUCCCAAGAUGAAUACAAGUAGACUCUAGCCUAUCAACCUCAAGAAAAAGCUCUAAAAUACAAAUCAAGGAUGAGUGAUGCAUCCGAAUUAAUUUUCGUAAUCUAUGAAUAGCAAUGGCUUUACUGAUGCCUCUAAUGUUCCAUAUAAGCAUAUUAAUCAUUGGUAGUGGGCAAUGGGUUACAACCCACCGAUAAGUAGGAUGAUAAUUUUAGCUCGUAACAAAAACAAAAUCAUGAGAUGAACUAGCAACCAUUUGGCCAUCCAUAUAAUCAAUCACUACAUAAAAAAAGGCCAGGGAUUCAAUCAUCUUAGAAUCAGACAAAAACACUACAUCCUCCCCAAACUUAUCUCCAUAAGCUUCAUCUGUAUUAAUCUAUAUAAACCCAACUAAUUGUCACCUCCCUCCAAAUGUAAAUCAUAAAUAUCAUACGAUGCGAAUUAAGUGCUAAAUGUAAAUGGGUAGUAUCCUCUAUUGGCACUAUACGAGCAUCCAAGUCAACUAAAACAACAUUACUAUUAACAGUAACAGUAGCUCGAGUUUGGGUAGUCGAGGCAGUCCUUAUAUCCUAAGCGACAUAAACAAAAGCACUAAUAUCCAGCGAAACCUCACCAAUAACCAUAGGCCCCCAAUGGUCGGAUCUCCUUAGUAGGUUUAGGCUGUAAAGCAGAUCGAAAAUAUUGUCCCUAAACCAAGUGGUUCGCACUUUAGGCCACUAAAGUGAAUUAUCUGCAAUAAAAAUAUAGUAAGGAAUAGGGUCACCCUAUGUUGAAUAGCACAUCAGAUGCAAGCCUUUUACUAUUAUCCCUGAGCACUCUACCAGUUUAUUGAUAGUCUUCUAGGCCAUAUGCGGCCCAAGAUUAGUCACAUAGCAAGCAUUAGAAGAGUGGCCAAGGCGCUUGUAGAAACUAUAAUAAAAGGGUACCCGCUUAAAAAUAACAUCCUGCCAAAAGUCAGAGUCAUCUUUUCCUUUCCAAAGAUGCAAUAAUAAAGGAUCUGAAACUUCAUAUUCAACCAAAACCCCAGCAACAUAUGGCCUAUUAAUAAAGGUUGUAGCGUGAUCUACAAGCAAUAGCUUACCAACAAUAUGUAGAUAUGAAAAAAAAAUCCAAACCAGCACAAUCCGGGAUUCUUUGGUAUAUCAAAAAUUAGUUGUCUAUUUAAAAAUAUGCAUGCUCUACUAUUACAUACCAGGAUUGCUGAAUCUAAGUUCUUGAAUAAUCUUCUUGCAUUUUAAGCUUAAUAAUAAUAUUUCUAUUGUCUAAUAAGGAAAUCUGAGGAUUGCCUUUUAACCAAAAAGACAUAAAAACUUACGAAUGACAUUCAUAAAUAGACAGCCAAAUGAGAAUCUAUCAACAAGUGAUAAUUUAUAAUGUUUGGCCGUGGACUAAAUUUUCUCAAUUGAAAAGUGAAUAACAACACCAACUCGAUAGAGCAAAACUGGCACAACAAAGAUCUGAGGAGCUGAAGAGCAAGCGACAAAAUCUAAAAAGGAUUUCGAAGCGCAGUUGGAGGCAUUGAAUGUUGGGAAAAUAUGCUCUUUAAAAGCAUAUGUGUUUAUUUAAUUGUAAUAAACUAUUUUUCUGAUUAAUAAAAUAAAUAAGGUAUUUUAUUCAAAUAUCUUAAUUGUAUUAAUAUUUGUAUUAAAGUCCAUUUAAUCAUAUUAUAUGUAUUUAUGUGAUCACCAUGUGAAUUCACAGAAGACAUAAAUACAAGUUAUCUUAUGAUUAAAUAAAUUUAGUUCGCAGUUGAUAAAUAAAGUUGGGCACUUUAUUUAGGUAUAGACUGUAAUAAAUUCAUUGAAUGAUUUGUCUUAAUCAUGUAUGAAUUUAUUGAUGUAGUACAACUACAUUGAACAGGAUCACAUGUGAGAUUUAAUUAACUUUGUAAUAACUGUCAGACUUAUUAAAUCUCACUGCUGUACGGCCAAGGCGGAUGUACGGUACAGCAGGGGGAACACUAUCUCAGCUACAUUUUUUUAUUUUUUUUUUAACCUUUCAGAGUUGUGAACAUAUAUCAAUAUUAUCUAACCAUGCAAGAUAUUUAUUUUCGCUUAACCCUCUACAAUACUUCAAUUAUUUUACUCCCUUCUUUACGGUUUAAAGUGAUUUAAUUUGUGUUGGAUUGCAUAUGAGACUCAAAAUUUAUCAAAUACUUCUAAAUUCACCAUCACUUUCGAUUUGACAUACUAUAAUUUUAUUUUGACAUCUGUAAAUUCGCUUCACAGUUUCUACCGUAAAAUAGCUUAAACAGAUGCCACAAGCCAGCCUUCCGUUUGUAAGGGGCCUUUUGUUAUUUUACAAGGUGGGUCCCCUAUUGAAAAAGCAAAUAACGUGGGUUUUGUUUUUAAUUAUUUGGAGCCUAGAGUUUUCACUAAAGGGUGAUAUAAAAUGCUUAUUUUUCUCUAAAGAAAUUGAGAAGCCACUUUAUACAGAUCAGAGAAUAAGAUUUUUCUCUCUAUUGUUGAGAGAAAAAUUUUCUCGUGCUAGUUGCUUUGGUAGUGAUAAAGGCGCCCACACGUCAAGUGCAGAUCGAACUUGAGUCAUAACCUGGAAGAUCAUUGGUGACAGUUCGUGAUCUAACAAGCGUGGUGGUGACGGAUCGUGAUCUAACAGGAGUGGUGGUGGUGGAUCGUGAUCUAGGAGCCUAAAUCACUUCAGCGGAAAAAGCCAACUCGGAUUUUCAAGGUACGAUUUAUAGAAUACAAAUUCUUAUAUAUUAUAUGAGAGCGAUCUUCAAAAGAUUUUAUAAAAAAUUUAAAAACCUAAUUUUUCUCUAACAUUGAGAUCAAAGAUGAUACAAGAUUAAGCACAAAGGCAUAUAAAGGCUUGGAAAGGUAUGGUUUUAAGGAUUGAUAGUUGUUGAUUGAUUUUAAGUGAUGGUUGUUAUUGAUCGAUUUCAUAGGUGAUGGGAAUUGAUUGGAUUAGUAAGGUUGUCUAAGUAAGUUUGGUUCCAGCCAGAUGGUGGAAGAACUAUAGUGACAUGCAUUGUCCAUGACGGUGGAUUUAGCAAAUUACAGUUUUAAGAACUAGAGAUGAAUGUGCAACAGUCCUACAAAUCAAUUUGAUGGUUAAGCAAUAGUAAAGAAGUAGUUAGGGGUUAGCUGAUGGUGUAAGAGAACAAUUAAAGGUGGACAAAAUGUGGUGGUUAAGGUUUAGAGAGUGCAGAUUUAGAGAGAUUGGUGCGGUUGUUUAUGUGAUACAACUGUUAGGUGCGUGUUAGGUUCGAUUGUUAAUAAAUUACCACCAACGGAGACUAGCAAGGUACGACAAUAUAGAGCAGGUUUUGGAUUGUUUCAUGCAAUCUAAUGUCUAAGUUUAGAGGCAGUGGUGACUAAUGCAAGGGUUGUUGAUCAAAGCAAAAGGUUUCUAGAAUUCAAGAGCUGUUUCAGUGAUGGUAAAGCACCAUGACCAACAAACAGUGUGGCCAUGGAGAUUGGUCAAGGUGAGGGUUUUAAAUACUUUAUUUGUAAUAUAUUUAUUAAAGGUGGGCACCAGCUCAUGCAAUCCAUUAUAUUUUUUGUAGAUUGGGUUCGAUUGUCAAAAUCACAACCUACAAAACUACAAUAUUCUAUUGAUCUCAUUGUUGUUUUUGCUAUUUUUGCUGUUGUUACUACAAUUUUUUUUUUCUACUACAGUUUUUGCUAUGAAUUAUUAGUGUUUAAUUUGAUUUUUGAGACUUUAAUUUUAGGAUUUGUUUAAGAAUUGUAUGUAACGAUGUUUUGGAUCUGAACUAUAAAUUUAAAUAGAUGUUCUUAUUAGUAUUUUAUAUUAUUUGGUAUAAUCUAUUAAUUUAUUUAUUAACUGCCUUAAUUUCUUAAAUAAGUCGCGUUGGGUUAUGUUUUCUCAAAUCUACACCAUUCGCGGGUUGGAUUGGUUGAGUACCUAUUUGACUCAAAAUGACUUGUGCUCCUAAAUAUUUAUGGAUUGUUUACUCUACCAAGAUUUAAAUUUGCAGUGACCAUAGUUUUUUAGAUCUUAUUUUAUGUUAAUGUAGUACUUGUUUUCUGGAUCUGGUAUCUACAAGUACAAAUCUAGCAAAUAACUAAUUGAAUCAUUUUUUGCAAAAGAUCUAUCACGAUAUUGGUUGAAAGAGCCAAAUUAAACAUAAAAGAUGGAUUGAAAGAGAUUGGAGAUAUUCCUGGAAAAUUUAUAAAGAUAGCUCCAAAACUUUACAAUUUUGCAAAUUUGACACUACAAAACUAUUUUUAUCAUAAUUGGCCAAACAUGGAUUUUUUGGACUAAAUUACCCCUUAUUUGCAAGAACGAAACUCUCCCUUACCAAACCAAAAUUGAUUUUCUUUCUGUCAUCAUCAAUGGCACUAGUGAUGGUGACAAAAGAUGAUGAAUCGAACAUUGAUGGUAAUUAGGGUGACCACAAAGGUGACGACAAAUCAACUUAAUCCACCCAAAUCUAAAACGAAUCCAACAAAUCCAAAUGAGCCUAAACCCUAAGCAUGUUAACUUCAUCAUCUUUUAAUAAUUUGAAUGAGUUUGAACAGAAUUAUUUAUGAUUAUAUGUUGUUAGAGGACAAUAAUGAAAUAAAAAUUGGUUAAAAUGAUGAGUUACAAACUCUUAGUUUUGUGCUUAAUUUGUAUAAAUUAAGUGUGAAAACAAUUUUAAGUAUAUAUUGUGUUGUGUUUGGUGGCUUAGAUAAAAUCUUUUGGUUUAUUUCUUAACUUGAUAAUGAAUUAUGUCAAUGAGCAUCAUAAUCAUAUAUUUUUGAGAGACUAGAAUAUUGAGUAAUAUAACUUAUUAGUUUAACAUCAUUAUGAUACUUUUACGCUGUGUUUACUUUUUGAAGUGAGAGUGAGGAGUGUGAAUUCCUCCCACUCAAAUAUUUACUUCAACAAUUUAAGGAGGGAGUGGGAAUCCCACUCUGUGGGCCCCACCCAUUUUUGGAGUGGAGAGUGGGAGUGGGACUCCCAUGGGGAGAGAUGGGAGUGGGAAUCCACUCCCACCUCUCUCUUUUUUACCCUUUUUUAUUAUU
rnacentral:lncRNA from 1 species